UUUUUUUUUUUUUGGUUUCAUUGAGUAGAGCAGAAAAUGUUCAGAAUAACUUAAAUGGAUGCCUAGACAAAUAACAGAAAAAAAAUGCAGAUUUUCAAGGAUAACCUUACUCUUCAAGAGCAUGUAAUGCUUAAGUCUACUUAAAGUAAGCACUUGCAGGCUGUACACGGUGCUCACAAAAUAAACAUACUGACAUCCUCAAUUCAGUAGAAAUUACAGGGAAGCAACUUGACAUAGAACACAAAUACUAACAAGUAGCUCCAGAAAAUAGAAGGAGAAAUAAGAAAAGGUAGGCAGUACAAAGACAUUGAUACUUAUUACUUGAGUGAGAAUUGAUAUGGAAGAUGCAUGGAUGAUAGAUUAACAUAGGAAAAAUGAGUACCUAAGGCAUCCUGCUCUUUGGCCAUAAAGUCCCAUGUUUUUUGCAUAUGACUGUGCACAUCCAAUUUGAUGUCCAUCUUCGAGAAAGAUCCGAAUUGCCUUGGCAUCUCUCUCUGGGUCACCACUGGCAAAUCCUUGGUAUGCCAUGUCGAAAAAUGGGAAAUGGUUCUUCACCUGAAAAAUACCAAACAAAAGUACAGCUGCAUUUCACUGGUAAAAUAAUACAAGGAGUGGCCAUUCUCCAAUUUGUUGUCAUCUGUACCUUGAAUUGUUGAGAUAUCUCUCUCCACUGUUCCUCAGAAGGAUCGACCCCAGUGGGAUUGUGAGCACAUGCAUGAAGCAAAAAGAAGGAACCCUCUGGAGCGUUCUGCAGGUGUAGGAAACACAACUCUGAAUCAGUGACAGAUAAGCAGUCAACAAGACAGAAAUCCCCACAGAAAAUGGGAGGUUUUCUGUGCCAAAUCACAGAAACCUACAAUCACUUGUAAAAAUGUUCAUCACCUAUGAAAUAUACCUUGAUAUCAUCCAUUAGGCCUGCAAAGUCCAGUCCUCUUGAUUCCGGGUGGUAGUAGGCAAAUGUUCUUUGUGGUACCUGGGCAUCCCUCCAAAUGUUGUGAUGGCUGAACAAGUUCAUACAGUUAGCUACUAUCAGAGGGUGCCAACCUGACGAUGCUCGAAGAACAUUUGAAAUUUGGUCUCUAAAUUGUUUUCGGUAACUUAGUGAAAAGGUGAAAGUAGAAUGUAUCCUAACUCACUUUGACCAUGUAGGCGUAGGUAUGUAGAUCUGUGAAUCCGGCAAGAAGCGUUUCUGGAAAUCUGCAAAGAGGCGACAUGCACCAGUCCCUGAAAGAGCCUGCACUGCCGCAAUCCUCUUGUCCUUGAUGAACUCAGAAUCCUCCCCGUAUGCCAGCUUCAGCGACUCCUCGAUCAUCUUCACGCUUCCUCCCAUUGGAAGGUACUCCCUGUUUUACAAAUUCCGCCAGGAAAAUAAAUUGAGAACUCAUGAUAUUCGUUCAUGUACUAAAAUUGCAUUACAUUAGUAUUGAACUCCAUUUUUUAUUUUUUAUUUUUGCAUUCUUGUAAAUUUAGAAUAUCGUGCUUUUUUUGAAUGAUUUGAAGAUUGCUCACCAUGCCUGAUAUCGUGCUAUUUUUAACUGCACAGCCAGGAUUUAAUAAUCCUUUUUACAAUUCCUCAAAAAAAAAUCACUUUUUACACGAAACCCCUCUAAAAAAACCGUUGACUCUCAAGGUGCACAAAAGUUAGACUGAAACUUCCAAAUGAUGUAUUAGACUCGGCUGGAAGUGCGCCAUGAUCCCGUCAAUAAUUUCUUGAUAGCGAAAUCCGCAAAUGCGCAUGCUUAUCGUCGAAGAAAAAUUCAGAGAGUAGAAUUGGCACAUGAUCUAUCACAAGACUGCAGGGCAAUGCAGGCAACAUGCAAAAAGCUAAGCUUUCGUCCACGUCAAUUCAUCAUCACCAAUUGAUUGCUCACUCCUCGGGACCAAGAAAACUGCACCCACAACCGCAUUAAAUGGAAAGGAAGGGCCAAGAGAGAGCAGAGGAAAGGCGGGCGGACAGCGAGAUCUCACAUGUUGGUGCUCCCGGCGAUGCGCCGCUCCGCCUCGCGCACGCACUCGAGCACCACGGGCUUCCCGUCGUCGUCCCGGUACGCACCCUGCGGCGCGACAGGAGAAAGAAGCCGUCAGCCCCUACGAUCGGCGCCCGUUUUGAUCGCGGCGCCGCGAGAAACACCGCUGUGGCAGGGCAUGCGGGUGAAGAGGAGGGAGGGAGAGAUACGUACGACGCCGACGUUCACUUUGUCCGGCGAGGGGUCGGCGAGGAAGGCCUCGGUGACGCCGAGGAUGGGGUCCUUGGCGGCCGGCUCCACGUGGCCGAACCACGACGCCAUGGACCUCGCCGCGGGCAGGCGCGGCCCGCACCGGCGCCGCCCGACCGCUGCCGCGGCGCGAGACAUCGCCAUGCCGUCGCUGCGUGCGGUGGCGAGUUUGCCGCUGCUGGGGAGGAGAUGGCAGGUGACUUGGGUCCUGAGGAAGCGGCGCGGCACCGGUGCUUUGCUGCGGCUGGCGUGUUGCGUGCCGCUAUGUUGUUCUGUACUGGGGCCUUGUGCUCUUCCGGAGUUUGCUGUGCCAGUACUUCAAUGAUAUCAUGCGCGGCCGCACGUGCCACGUGGAACAUGGUUGUAAGUGUGGCGGUUGUUCCGUUGGAUGGAACUCUCGCGAAUACGAGUCUACACAAAAUUCAGCAAUGGCACACUUAGGGCAACUCCAACGCACAACACCAAAAGAAUGUCCGUUUCGUUUCCUUAUUAUCUGUUUGGGGUGGCAAUGGAUCGUGUCCGCCUGAAUUUGUGGAUAUGCUGGGCGCACGGCCGUAUCUGGUCCGAUGUGCAUGCAAACGAAAAGACAAUGGCAGCGGCCAUAGUUCACGCCAGCGGCCGCGUUCACGCUAGAUCAUGCCAUUCGGCAAUAAAGCCAGCGUCCUACAGAAUGGUCAUCAUAAGUUUGGUGCUGUCAACAAAGUCAGUGACCGGCACACGAGUCAGCCUUCAAAAUGGACAAGUUUUGGCGUCGGCAACAAAGCCAGCGGUCGGCACAACAGUCAGCCUUCAAAAUGGACAAGUUUUGUUGCUGGCAACAAAGCCAGUCGCCGGCACACUAACCAGCCUUCAAAAUGGACCGCCAUCGCGGUCGAGGUCUCACCUAGUUCAAGUCGUCGCGGGCGAACAUCUCCUUCUGACAGUUCGCGAACCAAGUCUUCCUCUCCGGUGACAUGUUGUUCUUGUCGACGCUCAUCAACGCGAGCGCCACCUCCUUGGCCUUUGUGUCGGCAUUGGUGGCCUCGAUCUCUAACUUCUCGAGUUGAGUGGCCUCCUCGAUGUCAAGCUUCCUCCUCUUCACGGCCUCCUCCAUGUCAAGCUUCUUCGUUUGGAGAUCUAGAUAUAUCUUCAUUUGCUUCUCAUUGCCUUUGGUCUUCCUCUCCUCCCCCGCAUCCUUUUCUCUCACCAUUUCCUCCAAAGUUCCUUGCAAGGCAAUGGACGACGCAUCACGCUUCUCAUCGGACUUCGAGUUUUUCUGCCCCUUGGCCUCUUGAGCAAGUCUACCUCAUCAGCCACGGCCGCCUUCCCUCAUUUCUUCAUCUAAAGAGCAUUGUAUUGGUCUUUGAACUUCGGGCAAUUUUUGAUGAGCAUCCAACAAUGCGUGAGAGUGAAUGGCUUGUCUUUAUGUCGGGCCUUGAAGGCUUCCAAAGAUUGGAAUGCCUACACAAUCAAACAUGCGGCCACAAUUGUAACAUGAAAGGACAUACAGUGCAUGAAACUUAAAUGGCAUGCCAACAUGAAUGGACACAUGAUGAAAAAGCGAGAGGUUCAUACCAAGUCACCAAGGCCUAGGCCACUCACGGGACGGGAUUUGACGCUCUCAAGCGCGACACAAUAUUUGUUGCACUCUUGUUGGAUGAAUCCCCAUCUCUUUUGGAUUGAAUUGAUGCCGCGGGUGCUUGUGAAUUGGUAGGGGGCAAACUUUCUUCGCUCAUGAAAGUUCUUGUGAACUCUUGUCCAAAAGACAACUCCUUUUUGCUCAACACCUUUCAUUGGAUCUUGGCCGAUUUCCUUCCAACUAUCGCAAAUCAAAGUGUCCUCGGCUUGGGUGUAUGAUCCCGUGCGAAUGCUUUUCCUCAUCUUUUGUGCUUCGGCCUUUCGGGUGAGCUCAUUGAUAAACAACAAUGGCUCCAUGAAAAUGUUGACCGCUUCUUCUUCAUCUUGACAAUACAAGUCAUAAUCUUCAUGCCACGAGUUGCCAUGGUCGUCCUCAUCACCAUCAUCAUCGCCGGCCAACUGAGUGCCAUCAUAGGUAGCGCGGGUGUCCUGGCUUUGGUUCGUAUCGGGAUCAAAAGCUUGCUCUUGGCCGUCGACGUGGAACGCCUCACCACGGCCCUCGAAGAUGACGUUCUACAUGAACGAGGCAUAGUCAGGGUCGUCCAUGAUCGUUGUCUGCGUCGGCGAUGGCAUUUCGUCGAAUAGCUUGCGGGCGCUGGCCAUGUGAGCCGAAGCGAACGAUCGAGGCUGCUUCCUUUGCGCUCCGUCUUUGUAAGGGCAUUUUUAUCCCUUAGUUGGUUUUGGUGAUUGAUGACAAUACUUUUGCGGACUAAUCAUGUGCAUCGAAUAUUUCAGAUAUAUAUUGACUAGGCACAAGAUGAUUUGGUUCCCCUCGAAGGCUAUGGAAGACGACGUUUCUCUAUGUUUCUUUUCGGUGGUAUUGAGUCGUAGGGAAGCUGUUAUUAAGAGAGGGUCUGCGUCGGAAAGGUUGGGUGGAUUCAUCACGUACACAUCUUCCUUUGUACCUCCUUUUCUUCUACCCUUUGGAGCAUCCUAUGUUUUCCUUGUCUAUGCGAAUAUUGCUCGUGCUUGCUGAACUAGGGCGUGCGGUAGUACUGCUCCUUAGAGCGGUAGUACCGCAGCCCUUGCGGUAGUACCGUCCGCCGGUGCAGUAGUACCGCAAGCGCCCACGGUAGUACCGCUUCCUGGCAAGCGGUAGUACUGUGGCCGGAGUCCAGAUGUUUUCACCCUCUCCCUAGUGGGUGGCACCCAUCACGGUAGUACCGCGCACUGGGCACGGUAGUACCCUGGUAUCUGGCUUAGUUCCGCAAGUAUGCGGCAGUAAGGGGCGGAUGAAAUUUUUUUCAUCCGCGCCUAGCGCGGUAGUACCGCUGCUGGCUUACGGUACUACCGCAUCGGGUUUUUGCAUUGACUCCAACUCUGCGGAAGUAACCACGGAUGUAAUUUAUUAUAUCCGUGCCUUCCCAUCUGUGGACAGCCCCUGCCUUGCGGUAGUAUCGCAAGGGGGCGCGCACGGUAGUACCGUGCCAGCAGUACUGCCGCCCUCUGCCUUAGUGCAUUUUGGGUUGUUCUGGUCUCUGCUGCAUGGGCGGUAGUACCGCGCCUCUGGUACGGUAGUACCGUGUUGCGCAGGCUGAGUUGGUGGAUAACGGUUGGAUUUCUUCUUCCACUAUAUAAGGGGUGUCUUCUUCCUCUAGUUGACUACCUCUUCCCCAAAAGCUCCAUUAAUGCUCUAAGCUCCAUUUUUGCCCCAUCUCUCUCCCUAGCCAAUCAAACUUGUUGAUUUGCUCGGGAUUGGUUGAGAAGGCCCCGAUCUACACUUCCACCAAGAGAAAUUUGAUUCCCCCACCAAUCCCUAGCGGAUCUUGUUACUCUUGGAUGUUUGAGCACCCUAGACGGUUGAGGUCACCACGGAGCCAUAGUCCAUUGUGGUGAAGCUUCGUGGUGUUGUUGGGAGCCUCCGAUUAAGUUGUGGAGAUAGCCCCAACCUUGUUUGUAAAGGUCCGGUCGCUGCCUCCAAGGGCACCAAUAGUGGAAUCACGCAAUCUCGCAUUGUGUGAGGGCGUGAGGAGAAUACGGUGGCCCUAGUGUCUUCUUGGGGAGCAUUGUGCCUCCAUACCGCUCCAACAGAGAUGUACUUCCCCUCAAAAGGAAGGAACUUCGGUAACACAUCCUCGUCUUCACCGGGUCCACUCUUGGUUAUCUCUUACCUUUACUUGUGCAAGCUUAUUAGUGUUACUUCUCUUGCUUGCUUGUGUGCUCGUUGUUGUUGCAUCAUAUAGGUUGCUCACCUAGUUGCACAUCUAGACAACCUACUUUGAUGCAAAGUUUAAUUUGGUAAAGAAAAUCUAAAAAUUAUUAGUUGCCUAUUCAUCCGCCUCUAGUCAACCAUAUCGAUCCUUUCAAUUAGUAUCAGAGCCUCGUCUCUUUACUAAGGACUUUGUCAUCCGAAGAGUAUGGUUGACAUCGUAGACUGUGUGUAGGAGCACUCGGUGUGAAUCCGAUCUCGUCUACGGGUGAUGUGGGAACCUCGGUCUCCCGUGAGGAAUUCAAUGUAGCCUUGGAGACAUUGAAAACCUCAAUGACGACCGAGGCUGAAAGCAUGUUUACUAAAUUCAUUGAAGGGCUUAAACUAUCCACCGCACCAUUGAAAGUGGGUGAUCCCACUGACAAGGUGACAGAUGCUAACUCCGACAGGGGGGAAGCUAGUAGUGAAAAGGCUCCUUCUUCUAGUGGUAAAAAUGGCACCGACAUCUUUGCCCAUGUGGAACCACCACUUGUUUAUGGUGGACCAAUUCCUUCCACUCAUUUGAAUCAUGCCGGUCCUCCCCCUAAGAUUGUGAAAAAUGAGGACUUUGAUUCUUGGGUUUAUCGCUUUAAGCAUCAUUUAAAUCAUGUGAAUACUAAUCUUUGGAGAAUCAUUGAAGAAGGUUUCUAUCCGCAUGACCCAAGCAACUUCACUCCUCGAGAAGCCGCGGAUAAUCAAUUCAAUGAGAAUGAUCUCUUCAUCAUCCAAGAUGCAAUUCCGCCCGAAGAUCUACCUCAUCUUCGGCCAUUUGCCUUGGCCAAAGAUGCAUGGCUUUGUGUUUCUCUCUCUACCGAGGAAGCGCAAGCAUUCAACGCUCCAACUAUGAAAUAGUGCAAGAUGAAGCCGAUGAGUUUGCUAUGAAAGAAGAUGAAGAACCUCGUGAGCUUUAUCGGAGAGUAACCAAACUCGCGGUCUCACUCCGAGAUCAUGGGAGCAAGGACACGGAUGACAAUUGGAUCAAGAGCAAAUUCCUCAAGGCAAUGAUGCCUUACCACAAGGCCAUGUCCUUCGUCGUUCGUCAAAGGCCCAACUUCCACACCUUUACCUCAAGUGAAGUGUUGGAUGAGUUUGUGGCUAUGAACAUCUUGGACAAGACCGCCGACAAUGUGGUGCUUCGCUCUCAAAGGGCAAAGAAGCCCAACCUUGCAUUGAAGGCCAAGGUUUGUGUUGAAGAAGAAGAAGAAGAAGAAGAGGAAGAAGAGGAAAGCAACCCCGAAGAUACAAAGUAUGCCUAUCAUGAACACAUGGCACUUGCUUCAAGGCAAUUUUGGAGCAAGAAGAACUCAAGGCCUAACUUCAACAAGAACAACUCAAGUGGCACGAAGAGCAGGCAACGUGUGAGGACUUGCUACAAUUGUGGCAAUGUGAGCCAUUUUGUUGUGGAGUGUCCGUAUGAGAAGAGGGAAGACAAUGGUGGCAAGCUCAUUCGAAAGGACAAAGCCAAGUCUUUCCCCAACAAGAGCAACUUCACCAAGAAGACCCCUCACAAGGCGUUGGUGGUUCAAGAAGAGUACCAUGAGGAUGAUGAUGAAGAUGGCGAGUCGGUUGCCAUGGCCUCCGUUGCCAUUGCAAAAACUCCACAAGUGUCUCUCUUCGACUCACCCAAUGAGAACAUCACCGCCAAGUGCCUCAUGGCUAAAGUCACCAACAAGGUAACCCCCAACAUCAAAACUACCAUCAUUAAUAAUCCUUCUUUGACGGAUUGCGUUGAUGAAUAUGAGGGAUCCAAUGUGGAGGAAAAUGAGUUUGGGUCCUUUAUGGGUAAACUCAAGGGUAAAUCCAAGAAGCAUUUUGUUGCUCUCUUGGAACAACUUGGUGAAGCCAAUGACAUGAUCGAGGCUCACGAAGAUACUAUCUCCAAGAUGGAGGGGCAUAGUCAUGACUAUGCCGAUGAGAUUUCGGAUCUUUCCAAUGCUCUUAAGGAAGAGUGUGGUCUUCAUUUGGCUCUUGAGGAGUCACACAAUGUUGAUCACGCUAAGUUAAUAAAUAUUUUGAUCAUGCUCUUGUUGUCUCUCGUGUGCUAAACUCCGAGAAGGCCAAGCUUGGGGUUGAUCUUGCUAGACUCAAAGAGGAGUUUGACCUACUUGACAAGGCUCACAAGGUCUUGAAGGGUGCUCAUGCUAGCCUCAAAGAGUCUCAUGAUCAACUUCAAGUAAAGCUAACCAAGGAGAAAGCCACUUUUCCUCGUAUGAUGUUAAUUGAUAAUGCAAAUGCUACUAACCCAUGUUAUGAGCAUGUGCAUCUUGUUGAGGAGAAAGCUAAGCUAAAGUUGCAACUUGAGAAAGGUCUUGUGUCUUGCAUACAAGGCGAGAAGAAUCUCAACGACCUUUUGACCAACCAAAAGGGAGUUGUGGCCAAGGAAGGGAUUGGGUACGUGCCCAAGUCCAAGAACAAGAAGAAGAAUGACAAGGCCAAACGACCUCCUCCUCUCAAGUAAACUUUUUUGAAGGAGGGAGAGGGUUCUACUAAGGAGAAGGAGAAGAACUCCGUGAGGGGUAGUGAUGCCAAGAAGGGCAACGCUUCCAUUCCCAACAAAGCCGGCGACUUUAACCCUUCUUAUGUAUUGUGCCAUGCUAGAGAUGGGCAUGUUUAUGCCAAAUUUGUUGGUUCUCCUUAUGAGUACAUUGAAUGGUCUAUUUGGGUUCCUAAGACCCUUGUUACUAACAUCAAAGGACCCAUUACAAAAUGGGUACCUAAAACCAAGCAUUGAUCUCUUGUAGGCGUUUGCUUCCGGUGGGGGAUCAUGGUUGCUCGAUAGUGGAGCUACUAAUCAUAUGACCGGAAGCAAGGACUUGGUGGUGGACGUGCAAAAGAUUCCAUCCAUACCCACCAACGUCGAGUGGGGUGACGCCUCAUCCUCUAAGGUAUUGGGACUCAGCAAAGUUGUCAUUUCUCAUGAUCUUAUGAUCAAGAAGGUCAUGCUUGUUGAGUCCCUUGCAUACAAUUUACUUUCCGUUUGUCAACUAGCACUUAUGGGCUUUGCCACUUUCUUUGAUAUUGAUACCGUGGCCCUCUUGUGGAGCAAGACUCUUAAAGUAGCCUUUGUUGGGCAUGUCGAGAACGGUCUCUAUGUGAUUAACUUUUCGGAGCGACCCACUAAGACCGCGACAUGCCUAAUGGCUAAGUUUGACGUGGGGUGGCUUUGGCAUCGCCGUUUAGCUCAUGUCAAUAUGAUAUCUUUGCAAAGUCUUCUCAAGGGGGACCAUGUCCAUGGACUAACAAAUGUUAGUUUUGCCAAAGAUCGUGCUUGCAGUGCUUGUAUCGAAGGAAAGCUACAUGAGAAGGCUCACCCUCCCACGACUAUCAUCUACUCUAAGAGGCCUUUGGAGCUCCUUUGGAUCUCUUAGGCCCUCCAUCUUUUGAUAGUCUUGGCAGUAGAAAGUAUUGCUUGGUGAUUGUGGAUGACUAUUCAAGAUACACUUGGGUAUAUUUCUUCAAGAGGAAGAGCGAGACCCAACAAACCGUCAUCGACUUUGCAAAUGAAGCUCAACGACAACACAAUACAAAGAUCUUGACUAUAAGAAGUGACAAUGGCUCCGAGUUCAAGAACUACACCUUGGAUGAGUUUUUGAGUGAUGAGGGAAUCAAGCAUCAAUAUUCCGCACCUUAUACCCCUCAACAAAAUGGUGUAGCGGAGAGGAAGAACCGGACGUUGAUGGAUGCGGCAAGGACCAUGAUGGCGGAGUUCAAGUCUCCCUACAACUUUUGGGCCGAAGCCAUCAACACCGCAUGUCAUGCAUCUAAUCGGCUCUACCUCCACAAAGGUUGAACAAGACUCCAUAUGAGAUACUCACCGGUAACAAGCCCAACCUCAAGUACUUCCGGGCGUUCGGGUGCAAGUGUUUCAUUCUCAGGAAAGGUGUCCGUUUGUCUAAAUUUGAGGCUAGAGCUUAUGAGGGCAUAUUUAUUGGUUAUGCUACAAACUCUCAUGCUUACCGUGUUCUCAAUAAGUCCAGGGGACUUAUUGAGGAAACAUGUAACGUGGAGUUUGAUGAGAAUAAUGGCUCCCAAGUGGAGCAAAGUGGUACUUGUGAUGUAGGUGAUGAAAUUCCUCCCCAAGCCAUAAGAAGAAUAGGUGUUGGUCAUAUCCUACCCAUUGAGGAACCCCUUGUGGCCGAAGGAGAAGGACAAUGUUCCACUCAAGUCAAACCUUCACCAACCCAAGGUCCAUAUGCUUCCGAAGAACAAAGUGAAGGCCCUCAACCUCAAGAACAAGACCAAGGGCAAGGUCAAUCUCAAGAUGGUGUUGUAACAUCAAGUGAUGCCCAAGGCCAAGUUAUCUCCUCCGAGCAAGUUCAAGAUCAAGAACAAGCUCAAGACGGCGCUCAAGAUGAUCAAGUGACCACUCCUCAUCUCACCCCCGAGGAGGAAUUGGAGCGUCGUGCCACCAAGAUUGCUUCCAAGAUCUCCACCAAGGAUCAUCUCAUGACAAAUGUGCUUGGAAGCUUAAGAAAGGGGGUAAGCACUCGUAGACAAUUAGCAAACUAUAGUGAACAUCACAUGUUUGUCUCUUGUGUUGAACCCCAAAAGGUCUAUGAGGCGCUCGAAGAUCCGGAUUGGCUCAAUGCCAUGCAUGAAGAACUCAACAACUUCGAGCGCAACAAAGUGUGGAGAUUGAUGCCAAGGCCAACGGAGAACCACAAUGUCAUUGGAACCAAGUGGAUAUUCAAGAACAAGAAGACGCUCAUGGAAUUAUCAUUCGCAACAAGGCUCGUUUGGUAGCACAAGGCUACUCCCAAGUCGAGGGUAUCGACUACGGUGAAACCUUUGCCCCUGUUGCUCAUCUUGAAUCCAUUCGCGUGUUGAUUGCAUAUGCUUCUCAUCAUAACUUUAAGUUACAACAAAUGGAUGUGAAGAGUGCUUUCCUUAAUGGUCCGAUUAAUGAAUUGGUAUAUGUCAAGCAACCCCCCGGGUUCGAGGAUCCCUACUUUCCCGAUCAUGUGUAUCAACUCGAUAAGGCACUCUAUGGCCUUAAACAAGCCCCACGUGCGUGGUAUGACCACCUUACCGAGUUGUUACAAGACCGUGGUUUGGAAGCUGGGCUAAUCGACCCCACUCUUGUUACUAAGAAGGUCAAAGGGGAGUUGUUUGUGUGCCAAUUAUAUGUUGAUGAUAUUAUCUUUGGUUUCCCUAACAAAGCUUUCAAUGAGGAAUUUGCCGCUCUCAUGACCUCAAAGUUCGAGAUGUCUUCCAUGGGAGAGUUGAAGUUCUUUCUCGGGUUCGAAGUGAAGCAAAGUAGAGAAGGAACCUUCAUCAACCAAGCCAAAUACACUCAAGACAUGCUCAAGAGAUUCAAGCUAAGUGAUGUCAAGCCGGCUUCCACUCCCAUGCCCACCAAGUGCCAACUUGACAUUGAUCCCAAUGGUAAAGCGGUGGAUCAAAAGGUAUAUCACUCCAUGAUUGGCUCCUUGCUUUACCUUUGUGCAUCUAGACCGGAUAUCAUGUUGAGUGUGGGAAUUUGUGCACGGUUUCAAGCCUCACCUAAGGAAAGUCACUUUGUGGCGGUCAAGCGAAUCUUUCAAUAUUUGGCUCAUACCCCAAACUUUGGCUUAUGGUACCCAAGGGGAGCAAACUUCAAGCUUGUAUGUUAUUCGGACUCGGAUUGGGCAGGAGACAAAGUGGAUAUGAAGUCCACUUUCGGAGGGUGCCAAUUUCUUGGUUGAUCUUUGGUGAGUUGGUCUUCCAAGAAGCAAAGUUGUGUAUCUCUCUCAUCCACGAAAGCGGAGUAUGUGGCUGCCGGUAGUUGUUGUGCACAACUCUUAUGGAUGAGGCAAACUUUAAAGGAUUACGGUGUCAUUUGUGACAAAGUGCCUCUUUGGUGUGACAAUGAAAGUGCCAUCAAGAUUUCUCUCAACCUGGUGAACACUUCAAGACGAAACAUAUUGAGAUUCGGUAUCACUUCAUCCAGGAUCACAUUAGGCGAGGGGAGAUCGAGCUCAACUACGUCAACACCCAUGGUAACCUUGCAGAUAUUUUCACGAAACCUUUGGAUGAAGCAAGAUUUCGUGAGUUAAGGCAUGAGCUAAAUAUCAUUGAUUCGAGCAAUGUUGCUUGAACCCUUGCACACCCCACCUCACUCAACUUGUUGUCUAAUAUAGGUGUAGACAUGAACAUAGGGGGAGUGUUGUUCUCUCAAUGAACUCUCCCUCCCCUAUUAUGCAUAAAUCGAUCAACUCUUUCACAUUAAGCCAUUUUUAUGGUACUUGUGCUUCAAAGACAAGUUUUGGUCAUGGGCCCAAGGAUAAUUCUUCGCAGUACCAUACCAAUUGACUCAAACAUAGGUGGCUCCGGCCACCGCCCUAUCCUUGGGGAGUUUGUGUCUCGUUUUUGGUCUGUGUUGUCUCUUGCUUCUCUUCCUUCAUGCCGAGCUUGUGCUUGUGGUGUCCAGUGUGUUAGCUCUUUGGUGUUGUCUUUCGCUUUAAGGUUUUGUGCUUCGAUGUUCUCUCGGUUGGUUGAAACUUCUCUUUCUUGAGCUCACGGUACUACCGUGGCCUGCCAUGGUACUACCGCGCGGGGAGCGCGCGGUACUUCCGCACCCAGGGCGGCAGAAUUUUUUUACUGCCACCUGGGGGAGCGGUACUAUGGCCUCGGUGCAGUACUUCCGCCCGGGCAGUACUACCGCAAUGACGUGCGAUACUACUGCGUGAGGAGCGCACGGUACUUUCGCACCCAGCGCGGCAGAAAUUUUUUACUGCCGCCUGGGGGAGCGGUACUAAAGCCACGGUGCGGUACUUCCGCCCGGGGCGGUACUACCGCGAUGACAUGCGGUACUACCGUGUGGUCGAGGGCGCGUGGGGGGUUAAGCACGGGCAGGGGGAGUUCUAACUCCCCCAUACCCAUUCGUCUCUCUCCCCACUCCGUCUCUCUCUCUCUCGCUCAAGAACGGCGCCGGAGGUCCUCGUCGGAUCUCCAUCUCCAGACGCUCUCCUCAGAUUCUAACUGGUGGGAUCGCACCCCACCACUCCCUCUUGCCAUGGAACAAGGUUUCUCCCCAAUCCCUUCCUUUUUCUUCUUUGUCUUGUUGUUUUUAGGUUUUGGGGAGAUGCAAGUUGUUCGUGAGAUUUUAGGCCAAAUCUUUGCAAGAGUAGGAUAUAGAAGAGUAGUUUUGUGUAGUGGUGGUACUUGCUAUAGUUGUCCUGUGAUGGAUUUGAUCGGCCGUAGUACCGUGUGUUGACACGGUUGUGCUCAGAUCUCUAUUGCCGUUUCGGAUCUGCAACCAUGCGGUACUACCACUCUUCAGGUGCAGUACUACCGCGCAUCCGGUACUAUCGCCCUACUGGUGCGGUACUACCGCGUCGCUGGUACUACCGCACGUGGCGCAACACACAAUACUACUGUUGUCUCAAAUCCCUCUUGUGGCACUUCUCACGUGCUAUGUCUACUUGUUUCACCCGUUUUGAUGUGGUCUUUGCAUUGAUCCUUCUCAUGUUUCGUGCGUGGUUGUUUUGUGGUGUGUGUUUUAGGUGGUGGCUCGGGUGCUCCGGCUCGCCGCUCCAAUCCAAGCCGUAACACGGGAUCUAAGCGUAUGCGCAGCUCAGAGGCAGCAGAGGGCUCCAAUGCCCCCAACGCAGAACCAAGACCACCGCCACCAAAGAGAAGGAACCCACCAUGGGUAUGGAUGAGAUAGCGCUUGCUGAGUUCAUCUCUUGGAGGAAGAUCAAUCCAUAUGGAAACCCUCACGCUAACCUUCGAGGGAAUGAGCUAUUUUGGACCAAGCAGCAGAAUCUCAUUUAUCUGGAUGUCAUCAAGGCCAAGCAAAACACCUAUGUGGAGGUGAAAUGGAUCAACAUGCAUCACAUGAAGCAAGAGAAGCACCGGGAGUACUUUGGUGAGGCUUUAGACCUAGUGGAGCAAUUUGGCAUUGAGCAUAUCAUCUCAUUCCACAAAGACUUUGAUCCUGAGAUCCUUGCUCAGUUCUUUGCCUCAGUGCAUUUUCAUCCCAAUGAGGAAAGGACCAUGACUUGGAUGACCAAUGGUCGGCAGCUAACUACUACUUGGAAGGAAUUCAUGACUUUGCUUGGGGUUCCGGAUGAGGGGCUCACCACACCCCAAGGUGUUCGCCCUCAUGCCAAUUCCGAGUCUGCAAACAAGAACAAGCUUAUGCCCUUCUAUGUGGAGAAGAAGCUCUCCAAUGGCAAGUCAACUUGGGUACUCAACUCUUUUCUUGACAUCAUGCACCGGAUCUUCUGCAACACUCUCUUCCCACGCAUUGGAGACAAGGACAAGGUGCAUGCCUAUCUUGUGGAUAUGAUGCUCUUGUGUGAAGACGCUCGCAACUCUCAGACACUACCACUUGAUGUCUCACAUAUCAUGUGGAAUGAGCUUCGGUUUGCGGUCUACAACCGCAAGGUCCCCAUCUAUGGACCUUAUCUGUUUCAGUUGAUCUCAACAACUUGGGAGCAGCUCUACCCUCAGGAUGAUUUUAAGGCCCCUAGUUGGAUUCGGCAUGAGCCCAUCAACCUCCAUGUCAAGACUCAGUGGGAAAACACUACCUCUCGUGCUGAUGCCGCGGCUGCCAUGGGCGUGGGUGCAAAUGAGCAUGAGGAGGAGGCAGCAGACGAGGACAGCUCUGAGGGUUACACCCCUCCCACUUUUGAGCCAUCUUGGGCUAAGCGACUGAAGAACAAGAUGAAGAUGUUGUUCUGUAUGUAAGCAAAGGGGCGGUACAAGACCCAUGUGGCUUCCAAGGAGACUCGCCGCCGCGACAAGCAGAUUUUCAGGACCUUUGGUGAGAACAUCUCCAGUAGGUCAGAGGAGGACGUCACCCCAGAGGCAGAAUGGAUCGCCAAGCAGGGUUAUCACUGGACCGAGUCUGAGGAAGAGUCCGUCCCAGCUGCCGAGUCUGACGGGGAGCGUGCAAGUGACUACUCAGCUUGAGCCACCACUAUUGUUGUAGGUGUCCUCUCUGCCUUUUUGGCGUCUUGAUGCCAAAGGGGGAGAGAAUGUAGGAUUUGCGAGCUGUGUCGUGUUUGGGUCCGUUGAACUUUGUUUAUGUCGUUUGCUUUGGUUUGCUUUGGUUUGUGCUUGUGAGACCUUCUAUCAUAUGGUGUAAGACAUAUGCACUCUAUCGUACCGUAGUGAGCUUAUUCUAUCUUGUGCUUAUUCCAUUAUGCUCUUUCCUAUCUUGCUUAGUUUUAGCCUUAUUGCAAGAUGUGCCAUGUCUAUAAAAUAUAGGGGGAGUGUUGAUCCUAGUAUGUGUGCCAUGCAGUCCAAAGCACUCAUCGAGAUAGCACACAUCUAGGGGGAGCCCGUCUAUAUUUUAGAGACUUGGGGGUUUGCCCUUGCUCUUUGCAUUAUACCCUUGUGCAAAUCCCGUAUUGUCAUCAAUCCACCAAAAAGGGGGAGAUUGUAAGGGCAUUUUUAUCCCUUAGUUGGUUUUGGUGAUUGAUGACAAUACUUUUGCGUACUAAUCAUGUGCAUCAAAUAUUUCAGAUAUAUAUUGACUAGGCACAAGCUGAUUUGGUUCCCUCGAAGGCUAUGUGUCGGUGUCAAAACCGGCAGAUCUCGGGUAGGGGGUCCCAAACUGUGCGUCUAGGCCGGAUGGUAAUAGGAGGCAAGGGACACGAAGUUUUACCCAGGUUCGGGCCCUCUUGAUGGAGGUAAGACCCUACGUCCUGCUUGAUUAAUAUUGAUGAUAUGGGUAGUACAAGAGUAGAUCUACCACGAGAUCGGAGAGGCUAAACCCUAGAAGCUAGCCUAUGGUAUGAUUGUUGUUCUGUAUGUUGUCCUACGGACUAAAACCCUCCGGUUUAUAUAGACACCGGAGAGGGUUAGGGUUACACAAAGUCGGUUACAAUGGUAGGAGAUCUACAUAUCCGUAUCGCCAAGCUUGCCUUCCACGCCAAGGAAAGUCCCUUCCGGACAUGGGACAAAGUCUUCAAUCUUGUAUCUUCAUAUUCCAGGAGUCCGGCUGAAGGUAUAGUCCGGCCAUCCGGACACCCCCUAAUCCAGGACUCCCUCAGUAGCCCUCGAACCAGGCUUCAAUGACGAUGAGUCCGGCGCGCAGAUUGUCUUCAGCAUUGCAAGGCGGGUUCUCCUCCAAAUUCCGUGUACCUGUUGAAUAAAGUCCGGCUUCUUGUAAAUGUUGCGCUCCUUGGCUUCUACGCCCAAUAAUGGCCGUCUCCCACGUGUCAGAUGAAUAUGAAAAGUCUGAGUGUUUUUACAUCCACACCCCUAGCCGCGUAAAUGAGCCGCCCAUUUAAGGGGACGAGGAUUUAGAUCCAAACCACACCUUCUCCCCUUCGCGAGUGUUCAUCAGAGCGCAUCCGAAAAAGGUCCAUUCCACCAUGGCCAGCCAUCGCAACUCCUCCUUUCGCCCUUCCAGCCCUCAGUCUGGAUAUUGGGAGAGAUGCUCUAUCCCGCAUAGCGAGCUAGUGAUGCUCCAGACCAAGGGAUUUCUCCCCCCGGCCUAUAUGGUCCCGAUUCGAGCCGGUCUUGCCAUCUAUAAUGGCGGAGAGCAAGUGGAGAGUGCCCCUAAUUCCUCCAAAGGAGAGCGGGUAUGCCUUGUCCCUUAUUUAAUAAGAGGGCUCGGAUUUCCAAUCCAUCCGUUUCUCUGGGGGCUCCUGGAGUUCUAUGGCCUCCAGCUACACAAUCUUACGCCUGCCUCCGUAUUGCAUAUCGCGGGCUUCGUAGCCCUCUGCGAGCUGUUCUUGGGUGUUGAGGCUCAUUUCGGGCUGUGGAAAGAGCUAUUCUGCCUUGUGCCCCGUUCUCAGAAGGGGUCAAUAUAUCAAGUGGGCGGAGCCGAAGUGUGGCGCAUUGUCGGGACCGGAUAUCUAUCCGGAACCCCGAAGAAGGCGUCCGAGGACUGGCCUUCGGAAUGGUUUUACAUAGAGGACGUCCCGCUGCCGGAUCCUGUCCGGAUCGGCCUCCCUGAGUUCGACAGUGCUCUACUAAAGAAGCGCCUAAGUUGGCGUCCAUGGAGCCCUCAGAGGGAAAGUGACAAGGACGUUCGUUACCUGAUGGGCCGGAUUAGAUUGUUAGCUCAUUCUGGACUGACCAUGAUCAGGGCCAUGGCCGCAUGCAUCAUGCGACGGGUGCAGCCGCUAUAGUAUAGAUGCCACCCCAUGUGGGACUUCAACGGGGAGGACGACGCCACCCGCUACGGCCGUAAGGGGCCGGAUUCGGCUGCGACUCUAACAAAGACCUUGUCCGCUUUGUACAAGGGAGAAGAGGAGGAAUUUCUCCGCGUCGACCCACAGGGUGGAUUUUCUAUGUACAAUUGCCCAAGCUGGGUAAGUGGUCACAUUUACUUGCCCAUCCAUUUUAUAUUCCCAUUGUUAAAUAUUCAGUCUAACGACUUCAACGCAGGAACUACGCCAGGCUGUUAAAGAAAUAAACAGCCCUCCUCCACAAUCCGAGGACCCAGGACGGUUCCUCGACCCGGCCUCUCAAGAGGAUCCGGACUUAUCUAUGGAGCUGAUUGAUGGAGUGUUCCGUCAAUUGAGCAAGGACAACGCCUUGGUGGCCAUUACGGCCGAUUACCCAAUGCUAAUCCCGGCCUCCCAGGUAACUGAGAUCAAAGUCCCAGUACCCCGAAUAGGGGUCCGCCCUCUCGUGUUUUCAGUUUCCUGAUUACAACCGAGCUUUGUAGGGGAGGUUUUUGAGACGGGAGGCCAAACCUGCGGCGACAAGCCAACGAGGGGCCGCAGGGCCCCGUGGGCAGAAAAGAGGUGCAGUCCGGACCGAGGCGUCAGCGCAAAGGUAUGGCGCGCCCCCUUAUCCCAGGUGUUAUACCUUCAAGGCAUAUUAACACUCGUGCUCUCUUCAGGACAAAGAGACCUCGCCGGACUAUAUCCGGAGAGGCUGCCAAUCGCGCCUCCACCAGCCAGGCUCCAAAGCCUGGUCCGGAGGCGGAGGCGAACACAAGGCGCGCACCGGACGCUCCUCCGACGGAGGAUGUGGACAGGUUGUCUGCCACCAACUCUGAGGUGGAGAGUGCCAUGAACCACAGGCGUCGCCGGACAAUUCUUCGCGACGCUUGUUUCUCCCGAGAGGCAUUAGAUGCCUUCAAUUCGGGAGAUGCGUACCUCCGUGCCGCUCAAAAUGGUCUAGCCAGAGCCACAGAGCAAUAUGUAAAAGACAUACGGGUAAGAAAUUUUUGGUAAUUAUAUAUAUACCAGUAGCCCCCGAGACUUGAAACAGUUAGAAUAACUGAUUUAAGGAUCAUUUGUUAUGCAGGUUCUUACAAAAAAGAAUUCCCUACUAUCCCAAGGAGGCCCCCUCUGGUAAUAUACACUUCGAAAGAUAAGUAUUUUGCGAAGCACGACAUGGAUGCGAAUCUGACAAAUGAAAUUGUAGAUGGCGCCGGAUUGAAUCCGGAAAGGCAACACCUCCUAUGCCAGCUGAAGGCUGGUGAGAAGGUGCUGACAAAGGUGAGGCGAGAGAAGAACGAUCUCCAAGAUGCCAACACCAAGCUGGGCGUCGACCUGAAAGAUGUUCAUGCCCAGCUGUCAGACUCCGUUAAGGAGAAUUAGCGGCUUCGGCGCGGCAUAUUUAGUAAGUGCUUGAACGAACCUUUGAAAAAAAGUUCAGCGGGGAAGUCGACUAACAGAGUAAUGUCUGUAGGUGUGCUAACAGGUCGUCCUGCAGAGGAGAUGCCCGGUUCUACGGGUGACCUUCUUCCCGAGCUCUCGCAACUACUCGAGCGAGUUCGGCAGGCGAUGCAAGGCGUCGCCCAGGCCUUGUGGCCAUCCAUCUCCAUGCCCGAAGGUCUUGGUGAGCUUGCGGAGAAGCUAAAGGGAGCACGGUGGCGCUUCCAAUUGUGGAAGAUAUCGGCCUGGCGUCAAGGCGCUAGGGAGGCCUGGACCAUGGUGAAGAUGCGGUACACAAAGGCUGACCCCAACCACAUGGCCGAGGUCGGUCCUGUGGGGCCUGAUGGGAAGGAGAUCCCUCUAAGCUUAGUAUACGGCCAAGUAGAAUUGGCCGCAAAGUAUUCCCAGCAGGACUGUAAAUUAGAUAGCCUGUUAGAUGGUAUUGAAGAGGAAUACAAUCAGUCAGAAUGACUAUGUAAUUUAAUUGACAUUUAUAAUGCCUUCUAGCGGGAUUGUAGAUCGUUUGUCAUGGCCGACCUUUUCACUUCAGCCUCGGGACCUGACGGUCCGAGUGUGUCCGAAUUCCCAUGCGGUUAUAUAAGAACCGGGGAAUGCAUGGAGACCAGGCGUAGGGGUCAUUAGUGCGUGAACAGACAAGUGCCCGACUAGUUAUGUUAUAUUACAUGGUUAGUAAGAAACAUCUUCCAGGGAGAAUAGUUCUGUUAGGGGUUCCAUUCCCUGGGAGGCAUGCCCUAAAGUGCAUGCCCAUUCUGCGAAAAGACGCAGGAAAAAGCAUCUGGGGGGGCAUAAAUAAAUAAGUGAAAAUAUCAUCUUUUAGUUCACCGCCCGAAUAUUCCCUUAAGAAUGCUAGCUUUCGGCUUCACCCAGUCUGAGGUACACAUCCGGCUGAUCCGGCAGUAACAAUCGCAGAGGUGCUCCCUUUACCGCCUAGCCGAAUAAUCAGGAACGUAGGGGUAAGCACAGGAGCCAGGCAACCCAGCUUGGCCAAAACUUAAGUCAUAUCGAUGCAUAUAAUGGUGAAACAAAAGGUACAUGCAAAAGUGUAACACAUGUGUUGGGCAUGAAGCCCGUAUAAAUAAGCUUCUGUUAAAAGAAGCCCCCAGGUUUAAUGAGUGCGAAUAGCACGUCAUUUGAUGAGCCUUUAAAGGCUAUAAGAGAAAGGAAGGGGAGAAGGAGAGAAAUGUAAGACAGACAGUAUAUAUAAAAAAUGGACAGGGGAAGGAGACGAACACAGAGUCUGGCGCUAGGCAUAGAAUCUUCGGAGACGGGUUGCGUUCCAUGGGUUCGGCUCGAGUCGGUUAUCCAAUGCAUCUCGCAGGUGGUACGCUCCACCAGUCAGGACUUGGUCAAUGAUGAAGGGACCUUCCCACUUGGGCUUGAGUUUGUCAUUUUUCUUGUCCGGCAGGCGUAGAACUAAUUCGCCAAUGUUGUAAUUUUUGGCCCAUACUUCUCUGCUUUGGUAUCUUCGAGCCUGCUGUUGAUAGAAUGCGGAACGGGCUUUUGCCAUGUCACGCUCCUCCUCCAAUGCAUCCAAAUUGUCCUGCCGAUCGAGCUCGGCUUCUCUUUCUUCGUACAUGCGCACUCGAGGUGAGUCAUGAAUUAUGUCGCAAGGCAAAACUGCUUCUGCAUCGUACACCAUAAAGAAUGUUAUGUAUCUGGUGGUGCGAUUCGGCGUGGUCCGCAGCCCCCAGAGUACGGAGUCGAGCUCCUCUACCCAGUGCGUGUUAGAUUCCUUGAGGGAUCGCACUAAUCUGGGUUUGAUGCCGCUCAUGAUAAGACCAUUUGCACGUUCGACCUGGCCGUUAGUUUGUGGGUGAUAGACGGAAGCAUAAUCGAUCUUGAUGCCCAUGUUUUUGCACCAGAGUUUUACCUCGUCGGCCAAAAAGUUCGUGCCGUUAUCAGUGAUGAUUCUGUGGGGACGCCGUAAUGGUGUACAACCCCGGAUAUAAAGUCUAUCACUGGUCCGGAUUCGGCCGUCUUAACAGGCUUAGCUUCUAUCCAUUUGGUGAACUUAUCCACCAUGACCAGUAAGUAUUUUUGCUUGUGGGUGCCGCCUUUAAGGGGUCCAACCAUGUCAAGCCCCCAGACCGCGAAGGGCCAAGUGAUGGGGAUAGUUUGGAGGGCGGUGGGUGGCAUAUGGCUUUGGUUUGCAAAGAGCUGGCAAUCGACGCAUCGUUGGACUAAGUCCUGGGCGUCUGCCCGGGCCGUCGGCCAAUAAAAGCCUGUACGGAAGGCCUUGCUUACAAGGGAUCGAGCUGCAGCAUGAUGACUGCCGAGUCCGGCAUGAAUUUCAGCUAGGAGGUUCCGCCCUUCCUCUUCGGAGAUGCACCUUUGAAGGACUCCGGUAGUGCUUUUCUUAUAAAGCUCUCCCUCGUGGACUUUGUAGGCUUUGGAUCGCCGCACUAUGUAGUGUGCCUCAUUUUGGUCCUCGGGGAGUUCCUGCCUAGUAAGGUAGGUGAGGAAUGGUUCUGUCCACGGGGCAAUGACGGCCAUUAUUACGUGGGUUGAAGGUGUUAUUUCAUUGGCAGAGCCUCCGAUUGUGUCAGAAUGUUCGGUGUCAGGCAGUGCGGUUGGGUCCGGGCUGUUAUUGUUCGGCUCUCCUUCCCAUACUACGGAUGGCUUGAACAGCCUUUCCAAGAAUAUGUUGGGGGGACUACAUCGCGUUUUGCGCCGAUGCAUGCCAGGACAUCUGCCGCCUGAUUAUUUUCCCGAGCUAUAUGGUGAAAUUCAAGCCCUUCGAACCGAGCUGACAUUUUUAGGACGGUGUUGCGAUAAGCUGCCAUUUUUGGAUCCUUGGCAUCGAAGUCUCCAUUUAUUUGGGAUAUUGCGAGGUUCGAGUCCCCGCGCACCUCUAGGCGUUGAAUGCCCAUGGAUACUGCCAUCCGGAGACCAUGUAAAAGGGCCUCAUAUUCGGCUGCAUUGUUGGAGUCUGUGUACAUAAUCUGGAGUAUGUAUUGAACUGUGUCUCCUAUGGGGACGUCAAAACGAUGCCAGCCCCUAGUCCGGCCAACAUCUUGGAGCCGUCGAAAUGCAUGAUCCAAUUUGAAUACAUGCCGUACUCUUUAGGGAGUUCGGCCUCUGUCCAUUCUGCGACGAAGUCGGCCAAGACUUGCGACUUGAUGGCUCGCCGUGGCUUAUAAGUUAUGUCGAACGGAAGGAGCUCAAUGGCCCAUUUUGCAAUCCGGCCCGUUGCAUCACGGUUGUUUAUAAUAUCGUUAAGUGGUACUUCCGAGGCUACUGUUAUUGAACACUUUUGAAAGUAGUGUCGUAGCUUUCGGGAUGCCAUGAAUACCGCGUAAGCAAUCUUUUGAUAAUGCGGGUAUCGUGAUUUGCACGGAGUGAGGACAGUGGACACAUAAUAGACCGACUUUUGAAGGGGGAAUUUGUGUCCAUCCGUUUCUCGUUCGACGACGAGCACUGCGCUUACAACCUGAUGUGUUGCUGCAAUGUACAAUAGCAUUGGUUCGCCAGUGUUUGGCGCGGCUAGGACUGAGUUUGUUGCCAAUAUGGCUUUUAUUUUGUCGAGUCCGGCCGUGGCUGCAUCCGUCCAUUCAAAGUGUUCGGUGCGCCGAAGGAGGCGGUAAUGGGGUAGGGCCUUUUCUCCCAAGCGGGAGAUAAAGCGGCUUAGAGCCGCCACGCAUCCGGUUAACUUCUGUAUUUGUUUGAGGUCCUUUGGGAUAUCCAAUUGUGACAGAGCUCGGAUCUUGGCUGGAUUUGCUUCAAUUCCUCUACCGGAUACAAUGAAGCCCAAGAGCUUUCCGGCUGGAACGCCGAAAACGCAUUUUUCUGGGUUGAGCUUGUUGUCGUAUGUUCGGAGGUUAUCAAAUGUGAGCCUCAAGUCGUCUACUAGAGAUUCGACAUGUCUUGUUUUGACGACCACAUCAUCUACAUAUGCCUCCACUAUUUUACCAAUCUGGUUUGCCAGACAUGUCUGAAUCAUGCGCUGAUAUGUUGCGCCGGCGUUUUUGAGCCCGAAGGGCAUUGUGUUGAAGCAGAAUGGGUCGUAUGGUGUGAUAAAUGCCGUUGCGGCUUGGUCUGAUUCUGCCAUCUUGAUUUGAUGGUAGCCGGAAUAUGCGUCGAGGAAACACAACGAAUCGUGUCCUGUGGUAGCGUCGAUAAUUUGAUCGAUGCGGGGGAGGGGGAAGGGAUCCUUUGGGCAAGCCUUGUUAAGGUCUUUAAAAUCAACACACAGGCGCCAGGAUUUGUCCUUCUUUGGUACCAUCACUAGGUUUGCUAGCCAGUCCGGAUGUUUUAUAUCUCUGAUGAAUCCGGCCUCCAAUAGCUUUGCUAGCUCCUUUCCCAUGGCUUGUCUCUUAGGUUCAGAAAAACGCCGAAGAGCUUGUUUGACAGGUUUGAAUCCUUUUAGGAUAUUUAAGCUGUGCUCGGCCAGCCUGCAUGGGAUUCCUAGCAUGUCUGAAGGGUGCCAGGCAAAAAUGUCCCAGUUCUCUCAUAGGAACUCUCAUAGUGCGGCGUCUACAUCAGGGUUUAACUGUGCCCCGACGGAAGCUAUUUUAUUGGGGUCCAUUGGAUGGACCUGGAAUUUGAUUAUUUCAUCCGCCGGUUUAAAGGAGGUGGACUUGGAUCUUUUGUCGAGUACCACAUCGUCCCUAUUCACCGUGGAGCGCAUCGCAGUUAGUUCCUCAGCCGCUAGGGCUUCGGAUAGUGCCUCGAGGGCCAGUGCGGCUGUCUUGUUUUCGGCGCGGAGUGCUAUGUCCGGAUCACUAGCGAGAGUGAUGAUCCUGUUAGGCCCGGGCAUCUUGAGCUUCAUGUACCCGUAAUAUGGUAUUGCUUGGAAGAUUGUAAAUGCUUCCCGCCCUAGCAGAGCGUGAUAACCGCUGCUGAACGGAGCCACAUGGAACGUGACCUCUUCGGACCUAUAAUUAUCCAGCGUGCCGAACACCACAUCUAGUGUGAUUUUUCCUGUACAGCGCGCUUCCCGACUGGGGAUUAUUCCUCUAAAGGUUGUGCUACUUCGCUCAAUGCGGUUCCAGUCUAUUUCCAUUUUUAAAGGGUUUCCUCAUAAAUGAGGUUUAAUCCACUACCGGCGUCCAUGAGUACCUUUGUAAGACGAAAGCCGUCCACUAUUGGACUGAGGACCAAUGCGGCUGGUGCUCGGGCUGUUCGGAAUUUAGGUUCAUCGCUGGCGUUAAAGGUAAUAGCCGUGUCACUCCAUGGGUUUAUUGUUGCUACUUGGUAGACUUCGGCAAGGCUGCGGAGUGUCCUUUUUCGCAUAUUAUUUGAUGUGAAAGUCUCGAAGACUGUUAAUACCGUAUUGGUGGCUUUCUGUGGCCUCCGGAAUUAGGAGAUCUUCACCAAUUUUGGCCACCUGCCGGAGUAUCCAACAUGCUCUAAGGCUGUGAGUUGGUGUGGCAUCCUCUGUACUGUGAAUUUUACAGAGUCCAUUAAGCCAUCCUUCCAGUACGGUUCCAUGCCCUGUAGAGGGUUUUUGCUUUUUGGUGUUUGACCCGGGUGUCUGGCGAUGAUGCACCCUUUUAUUUCGGACUGGGUUUGUAUUCAGGGCCGGAUCAUCCCAAAAUUUUAUUUCGGUUUUCCAGGCGCUUUCCAUCGCACAGUAUUUUCGUACAAUGGACGCCAAGUCAGCGAAGCGUGUAAUAUCACGGCGACUUAUGGCGUUGAGGAUUCCCUUGUCUGUGCAAUUAUUGCAGAAGAUUGAGAUUGCGUCUUCCUCGCGGCAGUCCCUUAUCCUGUUCCUAACCAGGAGGAAUCUGGCCCAGUAAUGAUGUACUGUUUCUUUGGGCUCUUGCCUAAUUUGGGAUAGAUCGCUUAUGUUCGGGUGGGUGGGUGAAAUUAAAUCCGAAGCCUCACCCAAUCUGAGGCUCAAAGGCCGAGGAAUUUCCGAACUCGAAAAUUUGGAUUCCUGGAUGUUGUCCAAUGAAUCCAGCCCAUCGUCAGACUCUAAGUUCAGGUCUUGAGUGAUAUCCUCCCCUCCGCGGGUAUCCGGCUUGGAGGGAUCGGCAAUACGGACGUAGCUAGUACUUAAGAUAGAUGAAGGGUCGCCGCACUGUCCCUCUACCACGGCAACAUGAUGGGUGACUUGGGGAGAGUUAAUCUCUCUCAGAUCGGGUUUAGGCCCAAUCUGGUCGUAAUCCGUAGCGACUCCCAGGGCGGCGAUGCGAUCCAAGAGCUCAUUUAUGGAGGAGAGCUCCAUUGGAUCUAACUGCUCGGCGAGUUUCGAGCUAACAUGAAGAUUGUUUUCGAUGGCUCGAGAGUUCAUCGUCGACACAGAAGCCGAACAGGUGGUCAUAAGAAAACCACCUAGCUGGAGGGUUUGGCCGACAGCCAAAGAUCCCUUAGCAACGGUGCCGUCUUUAAAGACGGGGUGAGGCAUCCUUCCUGAUGGCGAUGACACAGAGGAACUCUCAAUGAAAGCACCAAUGUCGGUGUCAAAACCGGCGGAUCUCGGGUAGGGGGUCCCGAACUGUGCGUCUAGGCCGGAUGGUAACAGGAGGCAAGGGACACGAAGUUCUACCCAUAUUCGGGACCUCUUGAUGGAGGUAAGACCCUACGUCCUGCUUGAUUAAUAUUGAUGAUAUGGGUAGUACAAGAGUAGAUCUACCACGAGAUCGGAGAGGCUAAACCCUAGAAGCUAGCCUAUGGUAUGAUUGUUGUUCUAUAUGUUGUCCUACGGACUAAAACCCUCCGGUUUAUAUAGACACUGGAGAGGGUUAGGGUUACACAAAGUCAGUUGCAAUCGUAGGAGAUCUACAUAUCCGUAUCGCCAAGCUUGCCUUGCACGCCAAGGAAAGUCCCUUCCGGACACGGGACGAAGUCUUCAAUCUUGUAUCUUCAUAUUCCAGGAGUCCGGCUGAAGGUAUAGUCCGGCCAUCCGGACACCCCCUAAUCCAGGACUCCCUCACUAUGGAAGACAGCGUUUCUCUACGUUUCUUUCGGUGGUAUUGAGUCGUAGGGAAGCCGUACUAUUAAGAGGGGGUCCAUGUUGGAAAGGUUGGGUGGAUUCAUCACAUACACAUCUUCCUUUGUACCUCCUUUUCUUCUAGCCUUAGGAGCGGUACUACCGCAGGCCCUUGCGGUAGUGACAUCCGCCGGUGCAGUAGUACCGCAAGCGCUCAUGGUAGUACCGCUUCCUGGCAAGCGGUAGUACUGUGGCCGGAGUCCAGAUGUUGUCACCCUCUCCCUAGUGGGUGUCACCCAUCACGGUAGUACCAUGCACUAGGCACGGUAGUACCGUGGUAUCUGGCUUAGUUCUGCAAGUAUGCGGCAGUAAGGGGCGGAUGAAAAAAAUUUCAUCCGCGCCUAGCGCGGUAGUACCACUGCUGGCCUAUGGUACUACCGCAUCGGGUUUUUGCAUCGACUCCAACUCUGUGGAAGUAGCCACAGAUGUAAUUUAUUAUAUCUGUGCCUUCCCAUCUCUGGACAGCCCCUGCCUUGCGGUAGUAUCGCAAGGGGGCGCGGUAGUACCGCGCCAGCAGUACUACCGCCCUCUGCCUUAGUGCAUUUUGGGCUGUUCUGGUCUCUGCUGCAUGGGCGGUAGUACCGCGUUGCGCAGGUUGAGUUGGUGGAUAACGGUUGGAUUUGUUCUUCCACUAUAUAAGGAGUGUCUUCUUCCUCUGGUUGACUACCUCUUCCCCCAAAAGCUCCAUUAAUGCUCUAAGCUCCAUUUUCGCUUGAUCUCUCUCCCUAGCCAAUCAAACUUGUUGAUUUGCUCGGGAUUGGUUGAGAAGGCCCCGAUCUACACUUCCACCAAGAGAAAUUUGAUUCCCCCACCAAUCCCUAGCGGAUCUUGUUACUCUUGGGUGUUUGAGCACCCUAGACGGUUGAGGUCACCACAGAGCCAUAGUCCAUUGUGGUGAAGCUUCGUGGUGUUGUUGGGAGCCUCCGAUUAAGUUGUGGAGAUAGCCCCAACCUUGUUUGUAAAGGUCUGGUCGCCGCCUCCAAGGGAACCAAUAGCGGAAUCACGGCAUCUCACAUUGUGUGAGGGCGUGAGGAGAAUACGGUGGCCCUAGUGGCUUCUUGGGGAGCAUUGGGCCUCCACACCGCUCCAACGGAGACGUACUUCCCCUCAAAAGGAAGGAACUUCGGUAACACAUCCUCGUCUUCACCGGGUCCACUCUUGGUUAUCUCUUACCUUUACUUGUGCAAGCUUAUUAGUGUUACUUCUCUUGCUUGCUUGUGUGCUUGUUGUUGUUGCAUCAUAUAGGUUGCUCACCUAGUUGCACAUCUAGACAACCUACUUUGAUGCAAAGUUUAAUUUGGUAAAGAAAAGCUAAAAAUUGUUAGUUUCCUAUUCACCCCCCCUCUAGCCAACCAUAUCGAUCCUUUCAGUCUUCACAAUGUCCAGCGCCACUGUACCCCAGCGUGAUGUUGAGGUCGAUGAUGCACUCAGGCGUGGUCGGAUCGACCACGGUGCAGUCUGGUGACGUAGAGAAUCGCGUCUACCCAUGGUCGUGCGGCGAUAGAGCACGAACAUCCAGCGUCUCGUGUGUGAUGGAUGAGCUCGGGGAACGGUGUUGCGACGGACGAUGGGACGAGGAGCUAAUGCGGCUUGAACUACGUCGGUAUUUCCCCAAAGACGAAGGGGUGAUGCAGCACAGCUACAGUAGGUAUUUCCCUUAGUGAUGAGACCAAAAUUAUCGAACCAGUAGGAGAACCAUGCAACACUACGCGAAUGGCACCUGCACACAAAGAACAAAUACUUGCAACCUGACGUAAAAGAGGGGUUGUCAAUCCCUCCCGGGUAAAAGAUAGGCAAAAUUUGUAGUAGAUUGGAUAAAUAGAUCUCGCGGGAACGCGAGACGAGAUAAAUAAUAAUAAAUUGCAGCAAUGUAUUUUGGGGGGUUUUGGAUUAAUAGAUCUAAAAAUAAAAGCAAAUAAAAAUAGAUCUCGAAGGCAAAUAUAAUAAAGAAGAGACCCGGGGGCCGUAGAUUUCACUAGUGGCUUCUCUCGAGAAAAAUAGCAUAUGAUGGGUACACAAAUUACUAUUGGGCAAUUGAUAGAACUUCUAAUAAUCAUGACGAUAUCCAGGCAAUGAUCAUUAUAUAGGCACCACGUCCAAGAUUAGUAGUCCAACUCCUGCCUGCAUCUAAUGAAUUAAGUUCAUGGAGAAACGAAGUAAUGCAAUAAGAAUGAUGACAUGAUGUAGACAAGAUCUACUCAUAUAGGAAUAUACCAUAGCAAUGAUACAUACGUGUCGUUUCACCUUCUGUCACUGGGAUCGAGCACCGUAAGAUCGAACCCAUCACAAAGCACCUUUUCCAAUGGCAAGAAAAAUCGAUCUAGUCGGUCUAACUAAACCAAAGAUUCAAAGAAGAAAUACAUGAUGAUACGUCUCCAACGUAUCUAUAAUUUUUGAUUGUUCCAUGCUAUUAUAUUAUCUGCUUUGGAUGUUAAUGGGCUUAUUUAUACAUUUUUAUAUUAUUUUUAGGACUAACCUACUAACCCAAGGCCCAAUGCAAAUUGCUGUUUUUUUUGCCUAUUUUAGUGUUUCGCAGAAAAGGAAUAUCAAACAGAAUCCAAACGGAAUGAAACCUUCGGGAGAGUUAUUUUUGGAACAAACAUGAUCCAGAGGACUUGGAGUGGACGUCAAGAAAUCAACAAGGAGGCCACGAGGCAGGGAGGCGCGCCUGCCCCCUCGGUGCGCCUCCCAUCCUCGUGGGCCCCUCGUGGCUCCACCGACCUACUUCUUCCUCCUAUAUAUAUCCAUAUACCUCGAAAGCAUCCACGAGCACCACGAAACCCUAUUUCCACCGCCACAACCUUCUGUACCCAAGAGAUCCCAUCUUGGGGCCUUUUCCGGAGCUCCACCGGAGGGGGAAUCGAUCACGGAGGGCUUCUACAUCAACAUCAUAGCCUCUCUGAUGAUGUGUGAGUAGUUUAUCACAGACUUUCAGGUCCAUAGUUAUUAGCUUGAUGGCUUGUUCUCUCUCUUUGGAUCUCAAUACAAUGUUCUCCUCAAUCUUAUUGGAAAUCUAUUUAAUGUAACUCCUUUUGCGGUGUGUUUGUCGAGAUCCGAUGAAUUGUGGGUUUAUGAUCAAGUUUAUCUAUGAACAAUAUUUGAUUCUUCUCUGAAAUAUUUUAUGUAUGAUUUGUUAUCUUUGCAAGUCUCUUCGAAUUAUCAAUUUGGUUUGGCCUACUAGAUUGAUCUUUCUUGCAAUGGGAGAAGUGCUUAGCUUUGGGUUCAAUCUUGCGGUGUCCUUUCCCAGUGACAGCAGGGGCAGCAAGGCAUGUAUUGUAUUGUUGCCAUCGAGGAUAAAAAGAUGGGGUUUAUAUCAUACUGCUUGAGUUUAUCCCUCUACAUCAUGUCAUCUUGCCUAAUGCAUUACUCUGUUCUUAUGAACUUAAUACUUUAGAUGCAUGCUGGAUACCGUUCAAUGUGUGGAGUAAUAGUAGUAGAUGCAGAAUCGUUUCGGUCUACUUGUCGCAGACGUGAUGCCUAUAUACAUGAUCAUGCCUAGAUAUUCUCAUAAUUAUGCACUUUUCUAUCAAUUGCUCAACAGUAAUUUAUUCACCCACCGUAAUACUUAUGCUAUCUCGAGAGAAGCCACUAAUGAAACCUAUGGCCCCCGGGUCUAUUCUCCAUUAUAUUAAUCUCCCGUCAACUAGCUAUUUCUGGCAUCGCUUAUUUUGCAAUCUUUAUAUUCCAAUCUAUAUCAUAAAAAUACGAAAAAUAUUUAUCUUAUGAUUAUUAUCUCUAUCAGAUCUCACUCUCGUAAGUGACCAUGAAGAGAUUGACAGCCCCUUUAUCGCGUUGGUUGCGAGGUUCUUAUUUGUUUGUGCAGGUACGAGGGACUUGCGUGUAGUCUCCUACUGGAUUGAUACCUUGGUUCUCAAAAACUGAGGGAAAUACUUACGCUACUUUGCUGCAUCACCCCUUUCUCUUCAAGGGAAAACCAACGCAGUGCUCAAGAGGUAGCAAGAAGGAUUUCUGGCGCCGUUGCCGGGGAGAUCUACUUACAAGUCAAGACAUACCAAGUACCUAUCAUAAACUCUUAUCCUCACAUUACAUUAUUUGCCAUUUGCCUCUCGUUUUCCUCUCCCCCACUUCACCCUUGCUGUUUUAUUUGCCCUCUUUUCCGUUCGCCUCUUUUUGUUUGCCUCUUGCUGCCAUCAUGUCUGAAAUUGGGGAGGUUAUCAUUGAUAAGGAUAGUGGUAAUAACAUGGAAAACUUUGAUGCUUUUGUUGAUCCUCAUGAAGAACCUACUAUUUUACACACUAAAAAGUUUCGGAUUGGUAGUGGUAAUAUUAUUGGAAAAGGAGUUAUUCAAGAUUUUUUUACUUGUGUCGGUGCUUUACCUACUAUGGGAGGGUCUAUUCUCCAUAGAACUAGUAGUUUUGCGGAUGCUAUAUCUUUGCUUAUAGUUGAACUUGAAAGACAAUUUAUUCAUAUACACCCUUGCAUCGAAAGGAUUUUUUUAGAAUUUUCUAAUAUUGAGCAUUCUUCUGUUAAGCGAGCAGCUACCAUCUUUUUAGCUCAUGAGUUCAGAUUCAUAAUAAAAGAAGCCAAUGAAAUUUUUGCGCAUUAUAGGAUAGACGCCGGCCGUCUUCCCAUAGAAGCAAUUCUUUUUUAUCAAAAAGAUAUAAUGCGCUUACAAUCUUUAGAUCAUGUUGCUUUUUAACGAAAACCUUAGAAAAAAGGUUCCUAUCGACGUUCUAGUAGACAUGAUUUCUGAACUUAAUAAUAAUUUUGCCAUCCAAAAUAAUGGGUUGGGUUUUUCCCUUGAACAAAGGCUAAUGACCUUUUGCCAAAAGAAUGCUUAUAAUGAUGAAUUGGUUGUGCAAUAUGAGGGGCCAAAGGAGGAACCAAUACCUCCCGAGCUUGAUCUUGGGGGCUUUUGUCCCAUUAAAUUGAUCCCUUUUGAUUACUUUUGCUUGCCACAAAGAAAGCUUGCUGCUGAACGUAGGGAGUAUGAGAUGAGUUUUCACGAUCUACCUUAUCAUUAUCAUGGCAAUACCUAGAUCUAUUCUUGUUUUUCUGCCUAGCUAGGGGCGUUAAACGAUAGCGCUUGUUGGGAGGCAACCCAAUUUUAUUUUUGUUCCUUACUUUUUGUUCCUGUUUAGUAAUAAAUAAUUCAUCUAGCCUCUGUUUACAUGUGGUUUUAUGCUUUUAAUUAGUGUUUUUGCCAAGUAGAACCUUUGGGAAGACUUGGGGAAAGUCUUUGCGAUCUUGCUGUAAAAAACAGAAACUUUAGCGCUCACGAGAUUUGCUGACUUUUUUACUGGAGAGUGAGAUUAGGUUGAUUCUUUUCGAAGAUAAUUAAUAGAUAAAUUCCUCACGUCCAGCAAUUUAUUUUAGAAUUUUUGGGGUUACAGAAGUAUUCGAAACCUACAGAUUACUACAAACUAUUCUGUUUUUGACAGAUUCUGUUUUUCGCGUGUUGUUUGCUUAUUUUGAUGAAUCUAUGGAUAGUAUCUGAGGUUAUGAACCAUAGAGAAGUUGUAAUAAAGUAGGUUUAACACCAAUAUAAAUAAAUAAUGAGUUCAUUACAGUACCUUAAAGUAGUGGUUUGUUUUCUUAUACUAACGGAGCACAUGAGAUUUUCUGUUUAAGUUUUGUGUUGUGAAGUUUUUAAGUUUUGGGUAAAGAUUUGAUGGAUUAUGGAAUAAGGACUGGUAAGAGCCUAAGCUUGGGGAUGCCCAAGGCACCCCAAGGUAAAAUUAAAGGACAACCAAAAGCCUAAGCUUGGGUGUCGUGGUUAUCUCACGGGCAGGUUCGGGAGGCGACAGAUGCCACGGGGUGGCUUGAGGUGAGGGCAAGACUGCUUUGGAGAUCCGGGGAUGGGACUGGGCAAACAACACGCGGUGGUUUACCCAGGUUCGGAGCUCUCCGGAGAGAUAAUACUCCUACUCCUGCAUGUCUGAAUAUAUAUGCGGUGUACAUGUCUGGCAGUACAGAGUUGCUCCUGAAGCUAUAUCUGAGAUCAGUAGCAACUAGCUAGCUAGCUAGUGUGUGGCAUGGUGGCCGUGGCCUCUGGCCGAAUGAGUGGGUGCCCAUGCGUGAGCAUGUAUGCAUGUGUCUAUAUGAGUGGAUGGAUGGAUGGAUAUGUGCCCAUAUAUAGUGUGGAGCUAGCUUAUGAAGUAAACCAUGUAGGCAUGGGUGUGUGCUUGGGAUGUAAACUACAGUGUGUAGCUUACAUCCCAAGCCAUGCUUGCUUGCAUGCUAGGCUAAGUUUUGUCCCUGGGGCAUUUUAUAAAUCAAUUCCCGGGGGACAAAGUACACUGUAGAUGAUGUCGUGCGUGACGAGGGAACAACAUAUGCUUUAUCAGCAACAGUGGUCGCGGUAUGGCCGUCUUAGUUGACUCUGCUAGAUUCCAACCGGAUGGGCUCAACCCGGACGGGCCUUAACCCGGACGGGGCACAACUCGGACAGCUCGACCCGGACAGGCAGAACCCGGCCAGGGUUAACCCGCACAGGGAGAAACCGGCCAGGGGGAACCCGGACAGGCAGAACCCGGCCAGGGUUAACCCGCACAGGGAGAAACCGGCCAGGGGGAACCCGGACAGAGUCAACCCGGCCAGGGUUAACCCGGCCAUGGUCAACCCAGCCAGAGUCAACCCAGCCAGGGUCAACCCGGCCAGGGUUAACCCAGCCAUGGUCAACCCGGCCAAAGUCAACCCGGCCUGGGUCAACCCGGACAGGUCAACCCGGCCAAAGUUAACCCAGCCAGGGUCGACCCAGCCAGAUUCCAGCUAGCCGAGCAUAACCCAGCCAGACUCCAACCAGCCAGGGGCACUCCCCUGGCAAUGUUUUGAAGCGUUGUUUCGCCGUCUUGGGCAUACCAGGGGGUCAUCCCCCCGUCAGUAGCCUCCCAGCCUCCGGGCAACUUGGAAAAGUUGCGCGGAGGGUUUUAGCGGGUGUCGAUGUACAAGCCGAUGGUGACGUCGAGGGUGCCGGGCGCGGUCACGGAGUCCGCCGGCUGAGUGGGGGCGCGCGAGCGCACCCACUAGGUGUAGCCUCCGAGCCUCCGGGCAACUUUGGAAAAGUUGUGCGGAGGGUCUUGCUGUUGAUGAUGAAGCCGACGGUGAUGUCGAGGGUGCCGGGCGCGGACACGGAGUCUGCCGGCUGGAAGGCGCGGGGCCUUGCCGGACGCGAACGCGGAGUCCACCGGCUGAGUGGGGGCGCGCGAGCGCACCCACUGGGUGUAGCCUCCGAGCCUCCGCGCAACUUGGAAAAGUUGGGCGGAGGGUCUUGCUGUUGUUGAUAAAGCCGACGGUGAUGUCGAGGGUGCCGGGGGCGGACACGGAGUCCGCUGGCUAGAAGGCACGGGGCCUUGCCGGACGCGGACGUGGAGUCCACCGGCUGAGUGGGGGCGCGCGAGCGCACCCACUGGUUGUAGCCUCCGAGCCUCUGCGCAACUUGGAAAAGUUGGGCGGAGGGUCUUGCUACUGAUGAUGAAGCCGACGGUGGCGUCGGAAAUGCCGAUUACGGCCGGCGUCGGGCCUGCAACCAGCGCAGCGUCUUCCCAGCUGGGCACACCGGCUCGCCCGCUAAGUGUAGCCUCCGAGCCUCCAGGCGAGAAGGGGGUUCCCCACAACGAUGUUCGUGCAAAAGACAAGGUUAGUUCGUGCAGAUAUAUCAAAUGUUUGCUUUUAGCAUUGCAAGUUUUAUGUAGAGGGUGCCGACUUGGUUUCAUCUGAGCUCCCUUCAAUCCUUUUCAUGUCCCCUCCGCUCUUUGGCUUUGCCUAUUGUUAGCUAGACAGCCCGGAGCUGGUCUGUAGCUGUUACGAAGAGUGGCCGCGGAGUGGAGCGUACAAUACUCGGACUACAGGAGCGCAUUUGACCGAGUAGAUACUCAUAAUGAAACAGACGUCUUGCCCGUGCCGUCUUCUCCCGGACGUUUUUCACGUGGGGCGACCUCCAGCUUUUUCUCUCGCUUGUCGAACAGCCGCGCUGUGGUCUGUGGCUGAGAGUGGGCCUUUGGUACCGUGUGCGCUACUAAACCAUCUGCGGAAACAAACGUAUCGGGCCGAGCGGCCAGCCUCCGGGCCAAGACUAGCCGGCGCCGGGGCAAACAGUAGUGCAACUGUAAUAAAGACGACGCUCGGGUUAUCCGUGUUUGCACGUGGUGCGAAAAUAUGUGGGUGAGGAUCUCACAUUGCUUUUCGUGUAGUCGCGGCAGAUGUUGUCGAUGACCACCGGCGCCGCUAGGCGCUAGCGCGCCGGCACACCCACUAAGAGUAGCCUUCGAGCCUCUGGGCACUCGAAGGGUCCCAGCCGAUCGGGCCCGACCGGUCAGACGGUAAGGCAGACAGGCGAUCUGGCCGGCUUGGCGCAGCCAGCGUCGAGGCAGAUGGGCGAACGGGUCAGGCCCCUAGCCGGCCAGGCGUUGAAGCCGGCCGGCGGACUGGGUGGCCAGACAGUGACACGGGCAGGUCGAACGGCCUGUAGGGCGGGUCACGGAGCAGCCGGACGCAUCUCUCUCUCUCUCUCUCUCUUUUCUUUCUUUUUUUCGCAUCUCUCUUUUUCUUUCUAGCAGCCGGACCGGGGAGCCUGUGAACCCGGCGGCGGGGGUGCCAGGAGCAGCGCGAGGCGGGAAGCUGGCGGGGGCGGAGAACCCAGCCGCGGUCGGAGGCGGAGCCGGCCGGCCAGGUCACGCGGGACGCCUGACGAGGCCGAGUUGCGGAAGGCGGCCGGGCCGGGAUGCAGCCUCAGCCGGCGCGGGCGGCAGGCCAAAGCCAGCAGGCGGCCACGGCGAUGGCGGCCGGGCAGAGAGUCGAGGCGGGCGUGCGGCAGAGGAGCGGAGCGACGAGUCAGCCAGGGCCAACUGCAGGCGGGCAGGAGCCGGCUGGCGGAGCAAGACGCGGCAGCAGGCGGCGAGGUGCAUGGCGUAGGGGGAGUCAGUUGCGGGGCGAGCUGUGACGGCGUGAGGCCCAUGAGGCGCGCGGAGCAGGGGAGCUGGCCAGCGGAUGGGGCUAGACUCGGCGCCACGGCCGACUGCUGUUUGAGGCAGGGACGAGGCGGUGCGUGGAGGAAGCGGGGCGCGAACCAGCGAAGCAGCGUGGCCGAGCGCGGGCCGACGCGCGAAGCCGGAUGCGGGGCGGGGACGGCGGGCUUAGGGGCGACCUGGAGCUAGCGGAGGAGCGCAGGGAGGGAGGCCGGAGCGGCGCCGCCGGCGCGCGUGGAUGCGAUAGAGGAGCGGCCGGAGUGGGGCGAAGCCGGAGCCGGCGUGGGCGCGAAAGCUAUCUGGCUGAUUGGGGUCGCGAGGCGGCGACGGGAAGCCGGCACGAGGUCAGUACGCGAAGGCGGGGGCGACGGGACGUGGCCGGACCCGGCCAAGUCGGCGGGAGCAUCGGGCGGGAGGCCAGGAAGCGGGGCGAGCCGGACCCGGCCAAGCGCGGGGCGGCGUCGGGGAGUCGGACGCGGCCGGCUUGGGGAAGCGACCAGGUGGCACCAGGUGCGAAGCAGAGCAGCGCAGGUGGGGCCGCACGUGCAGGGGCGCACGACGACGGGUAGCGGACGGGCGGCUGAAGAGCGCGGAACAUCCGAGCUAGGACCGGGAAAGACGCAGCCACCGGGCCUGCGCUGGAAAGGAAGGAGUUGAGAGUGUGCAGCAGGCCGCAUGGACGAGCUGGAGCGGACGCGGCGCAACGCGAAGCUCGGUUGUGAGACCGGGAGUGCGGAUGCAGAGGCGCCAUGGAUUUUGGAAAUGUAUGUACAUUUUACGUCAAGUGUCCGGGAAGCAUCUCGCUAUUAUCUGGGACGUAUAUGAGGAUUAUCUGGCCGCUGUACAGCUUGUGCCUGGCCAGUAUAUGGUCGAUAUCUGUCCAAGAAGUGUAUGGGUAGUAUACGGAGGAGCGACCUCGUUCCGGCCGGAGCUAGAUGCAGCACGGAGGGGAGAGGACGUGAGCAUCGCGCGGAUGGAUGUGGCAGACUGAAACAAGGAGGCGCGGCGCACGCGCGUGGACGGACGACCAGCGUCGCGGCGGUGGUGACGAAGAUGGCGAGGCAAACGACGAGGACGCGCCGUCCUGCGCGGCCGCUCCAGAGGCGUGUUGAUGUCGAGCCUGUUGGGGAACGCAGUAAUUUCAAAAAAUUUCCUACGCACACGCAAGAUCAUGGUGAUGCAUAGCAACGAGAGGGGAGAGUGUUGUCUACGUACCCACGCAGACCGACUGCGGAAGCAUUGACGCGGUGUAGAGGAAGUAGUCGUACGUCUUCCCGAUCCGAUCGAUCCAAGCACCGUUACUCCGGCAUCUCCGAAUUCUUAGCACACGUACAGCUCGAUGACGAUCCCUGGACUCCGAUCCAGCAAAGUGUCGGGGAAGAGUUCCGUCAGCACGACGGCGUGGUGACAAUCUUGAUGCACUACAGCAGCAGGGCUUCGCCUAAACUCCGCUACAGUAAUAUCAAGGACUAUGGUGGCUGGGGGCGCUGCACACGGCUAAGGACUAGAUCAUGUGGAUCAACUAGUGUGUUCUUUGGGGUGCCCUGCCUCAGUAUAUAAAGGACUAGAGGGGGGAGGCUGGCCGGCCAAGGGAGGGCGCGCCAGGAGAGUCCUACUCCCUCUGGGAGUAGGAUUCCCCCCCCCCCAAUCCUAGUUGGAAUAGGAUUCCUUGAGGGGGGGAAAGAGAGAGAGGGGGCCGGCCACCUCUCCUAGUCCAAAUAGGACUAGGGGAAGGGGGGAGGCGCACAGCCACCUUGGGCUGCCCCUUUCUCCUUUCCACUAAAACCCACUAAGGCCCAUAUAGCUCCCGGGGGUUUCCGGUAACCUCCCGGUACUCCGGUAAAAUUCUGAUUUCACCCGGAACACUUCCGAUAUCCAAACAUAGGCUUCCAAUAUAUCAAUCUUUAUGUCUCGACCAUUUCGAGACUCCUCGUCAUGUCCGUGAUCACAUCCGGGACUCCGAACAACCUUCGGUACAUCAAAAUGCAUAAACUCAUAAUAACUGUCAUCGUAACGUUAAGCGUGCGGACCCUACGGUUCGAGAACAAUGUAGACAUGACCGAGACACGUUUCCGGUCAAUAACCAAUAGCGGGACCUGGAUGCCCAUAUUGGCUCCUACAUAUUCUACGAAGAUCUUUAUCGGUCAGACCGCAUAACAACAUACGUUGUUCCCUUUGUCAUCGGUAUGUUACUUGCCCGAGAUUCGAUCGUCGGUAUCCAAUACCUAGUUCAAUCUCGUUACCGGCAAGUCUCUUUACUCGUUCCGUAAUACAUCAUCCCACAACUAACUCAUUAGUUGCAAUGCUUGCAAGGCUUAUGUGAUGUGCAUUACCGAGAGGGCCCAGAGAUACCUCUCCGACAAUCGGAGUGACAAAUCCUAAUCUCGAAAUACGCCAACCCAACAUGUACCUUUGGAGACACCUGUAAUGCUCCUUUAUAAUCACCCAGUUACGUUGUGACGUUUGGUAGCACACAAAGUGUUCCUCCGGCAAACGGGAGUUGCAUAAUCUCAUAGUCAUAGGAACAUGUGUAAGUCAUGAAGAAAGCAAUAGCAACAUAAUAAACGAUCGGGUGCUAAGCUAAUGGAAUGGGUCAUGUCAAUCAGAUCAUUCAACUAAUGAUGUGACCUCGUUAAUCAAAUAACAACACUUUGUUCAUGGUUAGGAAACAUAACCAUCUUUGAUUAACGAGCUAGUCAAGUAGAGGCAUACUAGUGACACUAAGUUUGUCUAUGCAUUCACACAUGUAUUAUGUUUCCGGUUAAUACAAUUUUAGCAUGAAUAAUAAACAUUUAUCAUGAUAUAAGGAAAUAAAUAAUAACUUUAUUAUUGCCUCUAGGGCAUAUUUCCUUCAGUCUCCCACUUGCACUAGAGUCAAUAAUCUAGAUUACACUGUAAUGAUUCUAACACCCAUGGAGCCUUUGUGCUGAUCAUGUUUUGCUCGUGGAAGAGGCUUAGUCAACGGGUCUGCAACAUUCAGAUCCGUAUGUAUCUUGCAAAUCUCUAUGUCUCCCUCCUGGACUAAAUCCCGAAUGGAUUUGAAGCCUCUCUUGAUGUGCUUGGUCCUUUUGUGAAAUCUUGAUUCCUUUGCCAAGGCAAUAGCACUAGUAUUGUCACAAAAGAUUUUUAUUGGUCCCGAUGCACUUAGGUAUAACACCUAGAUCGGAUAUGAACUCCUUCAUCCAGACUCCUUCGUUCGCUGCUUCCGAAGCAGCUAUGUACUCCGCUUCACAUGUAGAUCCUGCUACGACGCUUUGUUUAGAACUGCACCAACUGACAGCUCCACCGUUUAAUGUAAACACGUAUCCGGUUUGCGAUUUAGAAUCGUCCGGAUCAGUGUCAAAGCUUGCAUCAACGUAACCUUUUACGGUGAGCUCUUUGUCACCUCCAUAUACGAGAAACAUAUCCUUAGUCCUUUUCAGGUAUUUCAGGAUGUUCUUGACCGCUGUCCAAUGAUCCACUCCUGGAUUACUUUGGUACCUCUCUGCUAAACUUAUAGCAAGGCACACAUCAGGUCUGGUACACAGCAUUGCAUACAUGAUAGAGCCUAUGGCUGAAGCAUAGGGAACAUCUUUCAUUUUCCCUCUAUCUUCUGCAGUGGUCGGGCAUUGAGUCUUACUCAACUUCACACCUUAUAACACAGGCAAGAACCCUUUCUUUGCUUGAUCCAUUUUGAACUUCUUCAAAACUUUGUCAAGGUAUGUGCUUUGUGAAAGUCCAAUUAAGCGUCUUGAUCUAUCUCUAUAGAUCUUAAUGCCUAAUAUGUAAGCAGCUUCACCGAGGUCUUUCAUUGAAAAACUUUUAUUCAAGUAUCCCUUUAUGCUAUCCAGAAAUUCUAUAUCAUUUCCAAUUAGUAAUAUGUCAUCCGCAUGUAAUAUCAGAAAUGCUACAGAGCUCCCACUCACUUUCUUGUAAAUACAGGCUUCUCCAAAAGUCUGUAUAAAACCAAAUGCUUUGAUCACACUAUCAAAGCGUUUAUUCCAACUCUGAGAGGCUUGCACCAGUCCAUAAAUGGAUCGCUGGAGCUUGCACACUUUGUUAGCUCCCUUUGGAUCGACAAAACCUUCCGGUUGCAUCAUAUACAACUCUUCUUCCAGAAAUCCAUUCAGGAAUGCAGUUUUGACAUCCAUCUGCCAAAUUUCAUAAUCAUAAAAUGCGGCAAUCGCUAACAUGAUUCGGACAGACUUAAGCAUCGCUACAGGUGAGAAAGUCUCAUCGUAGUCAACCCCUUGAACUUGUCGAAAACCUUUUGCGACAAGUCGCGCUUUGUAGACAGUAACAUUACCAUCAGCGUCAGUCUUCUUCUUGAAGAUCCAUUUAUUCUCAAUUGCUUGCCGAUCAUCGGGCAAGUCAACCAAAGUCCAUACUUUGUUCUCAUACAUGGAUCCCAUCUCAGAUUUCAUGGCUUCAAGCCAUUUUGCGGAAUCUGGGCUCACCAUUGCUUCUUCAUAGUUCGUAGGUUCAUCAUGAUCUAGUAGCAUGACUUCCAGAACAGGAUUACCGUACCACUCUGGCGCGGAUCUUACUCUGGUUGAUCUACGAGGUUCAGUAGUAUCUUGAUCUGAAGUUUCAUGAUCAUAAUCAUUAGCUUCCUCACUAAUUGGUGUAGUAGUCACAGGAACAGAUUUCUGUGAUGAACUACUUUCCAAUAAGGGAGCAGGUACAGUUACCUCAUCAAGUUCUACUUUCCUCCCACUCACUUCUUUCGAGAGAAACUCCUUCUCCAGAAAGUUUCUGAAUUUAGCAACAAAAGUCUUGCCUUCGGAUCUGUGAUAGAAGGUGUAUCCAAUAGUCUCCUUUGGAUAUCCUAUGAAGACACAUUUCUCCGAUUUGGGUUCGAGCUUAUCAGGUUGAAGCUUUUUCACAUAAGCAUCGCAGCCCCAAACUUUAAGAAACGACAACUUUGGUUUCUUGCCAAACCAUAGUUCAUAAGGUGUCGUCUCAACGGAUUUUGAUGGUGCCCUAUUUAACGUGAAUGCAGCUGUCUCUAAUGCAUAACCCCAAAACGAUAGUGGUAAAUCGGCAAGAGACAUCAUAGAUUGCACCAUAUCUAAUAAAGUACGGUUACGAUGUUCGGACACACCAUUACACUGUGGUGUUCCAGGUGGCAUGAGUAGUGAAACUAUUUCACAUUGUUUUAACGGAAGGCCAAACUCGUAACUCAAAUAUUUUACCUCUGCGAUCAUAUCAUAGAAACUUUUAUUUUCUUGUUACGAUGAUUCUCCACUUCACUCUGAAAUUCUUUGAACUUUUCAAAUGUUUCAGACUUGUGUUUCAUCAAAUAGAUAUACUCAUAUCUGCUCAAAUCAUCUGUGAAGAUCAGAAAAUAAUGAUACCUGUCGCGAGCCUCAAUAUUCAUCGGACCACAUACAUUAGUAUGUAUGAUUUCCAACAAAUCUGUUGCUCGCUCCAUUGUUCCGAAGAACAAAGUUUUAGUCAUCUUGCCCAUGAGGCAUGGUUCGCAAGCAUCAAGUGAUUCAUAAUCAAGUGAUUCCAAAAUCCCAUCAGCAUGGAGUUUCUUCAUGCGCUUUACACCAAUAUGACCUAAACGGCAGUGCCACAAAUAAGUUGCACUAUCAUUAUUAACUUCGCAUCUUUUGGUUUCAAUAUUAUGAAUAUGUGUAUCAUUAAGAUCGAGAUCCAAUGAACUAUUUUCAUUGGGUGUGUAACCAUAUAAGGUUUUAUUCAUGUAAACAGAACAACAAUUUAUUCUUUUACUUAAAUGAAUAACCGUAUUACAAUAAACAUGAUCAAAUCAUAUUCAUGCUCAACGCAAACACCAAAUAACACUUACUUAGGUUCAACACUAAUCCCGAAAGUAUAGGGAGUGUGCGAUGAUGAUCAUAUCAGUCUUGGAACCACUUCCAACACACAUCGUCACUUCACCCUUAACUAGUCUCUAUUCAUUCUGCAACUCCCGUUUCGAGUUACUACUCUUAGCAACUGAUCCAGUAUCAAAUACUGAGGGGUUGCUAUAAACACUAGUAAAGUACACAUCAAUAACAUGUAUAUCAAAUAUACUUAUGUUCACUUUGCCAUCCUUCUUAUCCGCCAAUCACUUGGAGUAGUUCCGCUUCCAGUGACCAGUCCCUUUGCAGUAGAAGCACUUAGUCUCAGGCUUAGGAUCAGACUUGGGCUUCUUCACUUGAGCAGCAACUUGCUUGCCGUUCUUCUUGAAGUUCCCCUUCUUCCCUUUGCCCUUUUCUUGAAACUAGUGGUCUUGUCAACCAUCAACACUUGAUGUUUUUCUUGAUUUCUACCUUCGUUGAUUUCAGCAUCACGAAGAGCUUGGGAGUUGUUUCCGUUAUCCCUUGCAUAUUAUAGUUCAUCACGAAGUUCUACUAACUUGGUGAUGGUGACUAGAGAAUUCUGUCAAUCACUAUCUUAUCUGGAAGAUUAACUCCCACUUGAUUCAAGCGAUUGUAGUACCCAGACAAUCUGAGCACAUGCUCACUAGCUGAGCGAUUCUCCUCCAUCUUUUAGCUAUAGAACUUGUUGGAGACUUCAUAUCUCUCAAGUCGGGUAUUUGCUUGAAAUAUUAACUUCAAUUCCUGGAACAUCUCAUAUGGUCCAUGACGUUCAAAACGUCUUUGAAGUCCCGAUUCUAAGCCAUUAAGCAUGGUGCACUAAACUAUCAAGUAGUCAUCAUAUUGAGCUAGCCAAAUGUUCAUAACGUCUGCAUCUGCUCCUGCAAUAGGUCUGUCACCUAGCGGUGCAUCAAGGACAUAAUUUUUCUGUGCAGCAAUGAGGAUAAUCCUCAAGUUACGGACCCAGUCCGUGUAAUUGCUACCAUCAUCUUUCAACUUUGCUUUCUCAAGGAACGCAUUAAAAUUCAACGGAACAACAGCACGAGCCAUCCAUCUACAAUCAACAUAAACAAGCAAGAUACUAUCAGGUACUAAGUUCAUGAUAAGUUUAAGUUCAAUUAAUCAAAUUACUUAAGAACUCCCACUUAGAUAGACAUCCCUCUAAUCCUCUAAGUGAUCAUGUGAUCCAAAUCAACUAAACCAUAACCGAUCAUCACGUGAGAUGGAGUAGUUUUCAAUGGUGAACAUCAUUAUGUUGAUCAUAUCUACUAUAUGAUUCACACUCGACCUUUCGGUCUCUGUGUUCCGAGGCCAUACCUGCAUAUGCUAGGCUCGUCAAGUUUAACCUGAGUAUUCCGCGUGUGCAACUGUUUUGCACCCGUUGUAUUUGAACGUAGAGCCUAUCACACCCGAUCAUCACGUGGUGUCUCAGCACGAAGAACUUUGGCAACGGUGCAUACUCAGGGAGAACACUUCUUGAUAAUUUAGUGAGAGAUCAUCUUAUAAUGCUACCGUCAAUCAAAGCAAGAUAAGAUGCAUAAAAAGAUAAACAUCACAUGCAAUCAAUAUAAGUGAUAUGAUAUGGCCAUCAUCAUCUUGUGCUUGUGAUCUCCAUCUCCGAAGCACCGUCAUGAUCACCAUCGUCACCGACGUGACACCUUGAUCUCCAUCGUAGCAUCGUUGUCGUCUCGCCAAUCUUAUGCUUCCACGACUAUCGCUACCGCUUAGUGAUAAAGUAAAGCAUUACAUCAUGAUUGCAUUGCAUACAAUAAAGCGACAACCAUAUGGCUCCUGCCAGUUGCCGAUAACUCGGUUACAAAGCAUGAUCAUCUCAUACAAUAAAAUUUAGCAUCAUGCCUUGACCAUAUCACAUCACAACAUGCCCUGCAAAAACAAGUUAGACAUCCUCUACUUUGUUGUUGCAAGUUUUACGUGGCUGCUACGGGCUUAAGCAAGAACCAAUCUCACCUACGCAUCAAAAUCACAACGAUAGUUUGUCAAAUAGACUCCGUUUUAACCUUCGCAAGGACCGGGCGUAGCCACACUUGGUUCAACUAAACUUGGAGAGACAGUCGCCCGCAAGCCACCUAUGUGCAAAGCACGUCGGGGAAACCGGUCUCGCGUAAGCGUACGCGUAAUGUUGGUCCGGGUCGUCUCGUCCAACAAUGCCGCCGAACCAAAGUAUGACAUGCUGGUAGGCAGUAUGACUUAUAUCGCCCACAACUCACUUGUGUUCUACUCGUGCAUAUAACAUCAACAUAAAUAACCUGGCUCAGAUGCCACUGUUGGGGAACGCAGUAAUUUCAAAAAAAUUCCUACGCACACGCAAGAUCAUGGUGAUGAAUAGCAACGAGAGGGGAGAGUGUUGUCUACGUACCCAUGCAGACCGACUACGGAAGCGUUGACGCGGUGUAGAGGAAGUAGUCGUACGUCUUCCCGAUCCGACCGAUCCAAGCACUGUUACUCCGGCACCUCCGAGUUCUUAGCACACGUACAGCUCGAUGACGAUCCCCGGACUCCGAUCCAGCAAAGUGUCGGGGAAGAGUUCCGUCAGCAUGACGGCGUGGUGACGAUCUUGAUGCACUACAGCAGCAGGGCUUCGCCUAAACUCCGCUACAGCAAUAUCGAGGACUAUGGUGGCUGGGGGCGCCGCACACGGCUAAGGACUAGAUCACGUGGAUCAACUAGUGUGUUCUUUGGGGUGCCCUGCCUCUGUAUAUAAAGGACUAGAGGGGGGAGGCUGGCCGGCCAAGGGAGGGCGCGCCAGGAGAGUCCUACUCCCUCUGGGAGUAGGAUUCCCCCCCCCCCCAAUCCUAGUUGGAAUAGGAUUCCUUGAGGGGGGAAAGAGAGAGAGGGGGUCGGCCACCUCUCCUAGUCCAAAUAGGACUAGGGGAAGGGGGGAGGCGCACAGCCACCUUGGGCUGCCCCUUUCUCCUUUCCACUAAAGCCCACUAAGGCCCAUAUAGCUCCCGGGGGUUUCCGGUAACCUCCCGGUACUCCGGUAAAAUCCCGAUUUCACCCGGAACACUUCCGAUAUCCAAACAUAGGCUUCCAAUAUAUCAAUCUUUAUGUCUCGACCAUUUCGAGACUCCUCGUCAUGUCCGUGAUCACAUCCGGGACUCCGAACAACCUUCGGUACAUCAAAAUGCAUAAACUCAUAAUAACUGUCAUCGUAACAUUAAGCGUGUGGGCCCUACGAUUCGAGAACAAUGUAGACAUGACCGAGACACGUUUCCGGUCAAUAACCAAUAGCGGGACCUGGAUGCCCAUAUUGGCUCCUACAUAUUCUACGAAGAUCUUUAUCGGUCAGACCGCAUAACAACAUACGUUGUUCCCUUUGUCAUCGGUACGUUACUUGCCCGAGAUUCGAUCGUCGGUAUCCAAUACCUAGUUCAAUCUCGUUACCGGCAAGUCUCUUUACUCGUUCCGUAAUACAUCAUCCCACAACUAACUCAUUAGUUGCAAUGCUUGCAAGGCUUAUGUGAUGUGCAUUACCGAGAGGGCCCAGAGAUACCUCUCCGACAAUCGGAGUGACAAAUCCUAAUCUCGAAAUACGCCAACCCAACAUGUACCUUUGGAGACACCUGUAAUGCUCCUUUAUAAUCACCCAGUUACGUUGUGACGUUUGGUAGCACACAAAGUGUUCCUCCGGCAAACGGGAGUUGCAUAAUCUCAUAGUCAUAGGAACAUGUAUAAGUCAUGAAGAAAGCAAUAGCAACAUAAUAAACGAUCGGGUGCUAAGCUAAUGGAAUGGGUCAUGUCAAUCAGAUCAUUCAACUAAUUAUGUGACCUCGUUAAUCAAAUAACAACACUUUGUUCAUGGUUAGGAAACAUAACCAUCUUUGAUUAACGAGCUAGUCAAGUAGAGGCAUACUAGUGACACUAAGUUUGUCUAUGUAUUCACACAUGUAUUAUGUUUCUGGUUAAUACAAUUUUAGCAUGAAUAAUAAACAUUUAUCAUGAUAUAAGGAAAUAAAUAAUAACUUUAUUAUUGCCUCUAGGGCAUAUUUCCUUCAGAGCCCCCGAACGCUAUCGGAGUGACGGUGCGACACCGCGGUGGUGAUGGAGAACGGCGAGGCCGGCGACAGGGGCGCGCCAUCCCAUGCGGUCGCCCUGGGGGCAUGUUGAUGUCGAGCCCCCGGGCGCGGUCGGAGAGACGGCGCGACAUCGCGGUGACGAUGGUGAAGAUGGUCCCGCCCGGACCGCGGUUCCGCGGCAGCUUGCCCCGCGGUGGGCGCCAACUAUCGUGGUUAUCUCGCGGGCAGGUUCGGGAGGCGACAGAUGCCACAGGGUGGCUUGACAUGAGGGCAAGACUGCAUUGGAGAUACGGGGAUGGGUUUAGGCAAACAACACGCGGUGGUUUACCCAGGAUGGGAGCUAGCUAGUGUGUGGCAUGUGGUCGUGGCCUCUGGCCGAAUGAGUGGGUGCCCAUGCGUGAGCAUGUAUGCAUGUGUCUGUAUGAGUGGAUGGAUGGAUGGAUAUGUGCCCAUAUAUAGUGUGGAGCUAGCUUAUGAAGUAAGCCAUGUAGGCAUGGGUGUGUGCUUGAGAUGUAAGCUACAGUGUGUAGCUUACAUCCCAAGCCAUGCUUGCUUGCAUGCUAGGCUAAGUUUUGUCCUGGGGCAUUUUAUAAAUCAAUGCCCGGGGGACAAAGUACACUGUAGAGGAUGUCGUGCGUGACGAGGGAACAACAUAUGCUUUAUCAGCAACAGUGCCCGCGGUAUGGCCGUCUUAGUUGACUCUGCUAGAUUUCAGCCGGGUGGGCUCAACCCAGACGGGCCUUAACCCGGACGGGGUUCAACCCAGACAGCUCGACCCGGACAGCUCGACCCGGACAGGCAGAACCCGGCCAGGGUUAACCCGGACAGGGAGAAACCGGCCAGGGGGAACCCGGACAGAGUCAACCCGGCCAGGGUUAACCCGGCCAGGGUCAACCCGGCCAGCUCAACCCGGCCAGGGUUAACCCAGCCAUGGUCAACCCGGCCAAAGUCAACCCGGCCUGGGUCAACCCGGACAGGUCAACCCGGCCAAAGUCAACUCGGCCAGGGUCGACCUAGCCAGAUUCCAGCCAGCCGAGCUUAACCCAGCCAGACUCCAGCCAGCCAGGGGGCACUCCCCUGGCAAUGUUUUGAAGUGUUGUUUCGCUGUCUUGGGCAUACCCGGGGGUCAUCCCCCCAUCAUUGGGGAUGCUCGGAAGGCAUCCCCUCUUUCGUCUUCUUCUAUCGGUAACUUUACUUGAGGCUAUAUUUUUAUUCACCACAUGAUAUGUGUUUUGCUUGGAGCGUCUUGUAUGAUUUGAGUCUUUGCUUUUUAGUUUACCACAAUCAUCCUGGCUGUACACACCUUUUGGGAGAGACACACAUGAAUUAGAAUUUAUUAGAAUACUCUAUGUGCUUCACUUAUAUGUUUUGAGCUAGAUAAUUCUUGCUCUAGUGCUUCACUUAUAUCUUUUAGAGCACGGUGGUGGUUUUAUUUUAUAGAAAUUAUUGAUCUCUCAUGCUUCACUUAUAUUAUUUUGAGAGUCCUUUCGAACAGCAUGGUAAUUUUCUUUGGUUAUAAAAUUAGUCCUAAUAUAAUAGGCAUCCAAGAUGGGUAUAAUAAAAAUUAUCAUAAAAAGUACAUUGAAUACUAUGAGAAGUUUGAUACUUGAUGAUUGUUUUGAGAUAUGAAGAUGGUGAUAUUAGAGUCAUGCUAGUUGAGUAGUUGUGAAUUUGAGAAAUACUUGUUCUAAAGUUUGUGAUUCCCGUAGCAUGCACGUAUGGUGAACCGUUAUAUGAUAAAGUCGGAGCAUGAUUUAUUUAACGAUUGUUUUCCAUAUGAGUUGCGGUCGGGGACAAGCGAUGGUCUUUUCCAACCAAUCUAUCCCCCUAGGAGCAUGCACGUAGUACUUUGUUUAGAUAACUAAUAAAUUUUUGCAAUAAGUAUGUGAGUUCUUUAUGACUAAUGUUGAGUCCAUGGAUUAUACGCACUCUCAUCCAUCCACCAUUGCUAGCCUCUCUAGUACAGCGCAACUUUCGCCGGUACCAUAAACCCACCAUACACCUUCCUCAAAACAGCCACCAUACCUACCUAGUAUGACAUUUCUAUAGCCAUUUCGAGAUAUAUUUCCAUGCAACUUCCUCAAAAUGAAAAAGAGAGGAUAAAAUGACUUCCUCAAAAUAAAGAAAUAUCGGAGAUUUAAUGUUAAAAUCAAAUAAAAAAUUUAUUCAGAGUUUUAUCGCUAUUUUAUUUGAAUUAGGAAAAAUAUGUGUUUUUCAAAAUUGCAUUUUAGGUCCAAAUAAAUGUUCACCUUGUCCGGCCUAUUUUUAGAAGACGGGAAAAAUUUAUUUCGGGAUUUUUGGAGUCUAUUUAGUACUUCUUUUCUUUCUUUUUCUGCACAACGGAAUUGUUUUAAAAAAAAGGAACCGACUCUGGGCCGUACCCGAGCGGGACUCCGCCCGGGGGGGCUUUAUACACCGCGCCACCUGAGCCCCGCAGCCCACCAGCNNNNNNNNNNNNNNNNNNNNNNNNNNNNNNNNNNNNNNNNNNNNNNNNNNNNNNNNNNNNNNNNNNNNNNNNNNNNNNNNNNNNNNNNNNNNNNNNNNNNNNNNNNNNNNNNNNNNNNNNNNNNNNNNNNNNNNNNNNNNNNNNNNNNNNNNNNNNNNNNNNNNNNNNNNNNNNNNNNNNNNNNNNNNNNNNNNNNNNNNNNNNNNNNNNNNNNNNNNNNNNNNNNNNNNNNNNNNNNNNNNNNNNNNNNNNNNNNNNNNNNNNNNNNNNNNNNNNNNNNNNNNNNNNNNNNNNNNNNNNNNNNNNNNNNNNNNNNNNCCGCCGCUGCACCGGAGCCGCACCGCUGCCGCCGUCUCGCCGGAUCCGCCGGAGGUAGCCGCCGCCGCCUCAGUUUUCGCGAGAAAACCGAACGGUUUUUUUCGAAACGCUAGAUCCGAUUCGGUUUAUUUUUUUUGGUUUAGUUAUUUAGCGACCGCCCGUUCAUACGUUCAUUUUAAUGAAAGGUUUUCACCGUUUAGCCGCAGACAGCGAAUGUUAGUUCGUUAGCCUAUUCGUCAGUUUUUCUUUUUCUUGGAUUUUCCGCGAUUAUUUUCGCUCAUGAUUUCCGAUCCGAUUUUUGUUUUAGUUUAUCUUUUCACUCGUUUAUCGGAAUCAGGCGAUUCAAGCGCCUAGAGUUUCGUCUCGAAGCCAUCUUUCUGUUUAACCAACUUGAACAAGAUUUUGCUACUGUAAAAUUUGACUUUAGUCCAGAUUAGUAAACGAAGCUUGUUUCUUUCGCCGCUUGAGUUUUGUUGUUUCGUUUGAUUUCAUUCUUUUUGCAAACCGGAGUUCUUAAGUUGAACUUUCUGGUUAGGUCUCUUAUUUGAGUUUUACCCGUGCCCUUGCUUGAUUGCUUAUUGUAUGCUUGUUUGUUUGCGAUAGAGUACCCGGAGUGUGAAGCGUGCUACUACGAGUCUCUAGGUUUCGCGAAUCAUCAGCAAGGCAAGUAACACUUUGAUCAUACCUAUUUACUACGCAGUUUUAUUGCAUUAGACCAAUCCUCAAACAAUUGCAUGGUUAGUAUCUGAAUUAAAUUGUGGGUUGGGAAGUAGUUGAGGUAGUACCUAUUCACCUGUUUAUUAUCAAACCUUUGGGAGUUACUUCUACGUUGCUUAUAUUGCUAUGCUAUGUUCGUAGACGUGGAUUGGGUUUGAGUGUAUUCAUGACAGAUGUGAGUAUUGUUAAUUAAUGGUUAACUUAAGGUGGCAACUUUAAUACACAUCUGGGUGGAUUGAGGCACCUGGGGAACCCAGUGAUUGCCUGUUUUUUUGGAAAUCUCGGGGUACCGUGUGAUUCUCCUAUGGACUGCCACCCAGGCUCAAAGGGAUCAUGAGAUUAUUCAUGCUAGAAACUUCCGUGUGCAGCCACAAGCCAUUAUGGGCUCUGGCAUAGUUGAUUAAGUCGUGUGAGCUCUUACAGUGGUAGACUAGCAGAUGUAGGGGAUGUAGGUGGUACUGUCUAGCCAUCGUAAGGUGCUAACGCUUCUGAAAGACUGUGUCUCGGUCAUCCGUUUCUCAAACACCAUGUAGUGCGAGAAAAUCCAACGGAGGAGAUCGAGUCUUGUGGGAAAAGUGCGCAAACCUCUGCAGAGUGUACAAUCUAAUCAUGGUUAGACGUGUCUCCGGUUAUGGACAUCUUGAGUAUCUAGUUCUUGGAUUAUCAUGUGGAUCUCAACACUUUUAAUUAUAAAAUUUGAUUGGGUUAUUAUUAUACCUCUUAAUUGAGAUUGAGAUGGGGUUUACCAUUCUCAAUGUUUAACAACCACCAUGAUAGUUAAAUAGAGUUUAUUCCUUUGUUGUAGGGGAAAAUUGGCUUUUCGCAAAACAUAUUAACCAUACAGCCUCCACCAGCCAUAUAUGCAUGUAGUGAUAGCAUUAUUCUGUUCAUUACUCUUUUGUGUUACAUUGCCAGCAUAUUCCAUAUGCUGACCCGUUUUCGGGAUGCAACGUAUCAUGUUGCAGACUUUUCAGACGACGAGUAAGGAGCCUUAGGUCGUGGUCUUUCACUUAGUGAUGCCAUUGGAGUUGAUGGACUCACCUUAUCUUCCAAGCCUUCCGCUGUUACCGUAUUAGAUGGCCUUAAGCCAUAUUUAUUGUAAUAAGUUCUCUUUUGAGACAUUGGAUGUAAUAAGUGUGUGAUUGCUACUCUGUUAUAAAUCCUUCAAGUAUUGUGCAUGUCAGCAUUACCGAUCCAGGGAUGACACUGAUGCACAGAGAUCAGACUGUUUGAGGUCUGGUUGCUACAGAGAGCAAUUCUAACAAGUCAUAGCAUAAUUUUGGCUCUCUCAAAUAAGUGUGUCCAGCAAGGAUAGAUGACACAAAAUAAUAAGCAAAACAAGCAAAGACUCAUAUCAUACAAGACGCUCCAAGCAAAACUCAUGAUAUGUGAUGAAUAAAAAUAUAGCUCCAAGUAAAAUAUCGAUGGUCGUUAGAAGAAAGAGGGGAUGCCACUCGGGCACCCCCAAGCUUAGUUGCUUGCUUAUCUUUUAGAUAAUGGCUUGGGAUUCCAUGGGCAUCCCCAAUUUUAGGCUCUUCUUACUCCUUAUUCCUUCAUCCAUCGUGAUCUCACCUAAAACUUGAAAACUUCAAUCACACAAAACUCAACAAAACCUUCGUGAGAUCAGUUAGUAUAACAAAGAAAAACACUACUAUAAGUACUGUUGAAAACCCAUUCAUACUUUAUUUUUGCAUUAUAUCUACUAUAUUCCAACUUUACUAUAGCUAAUACCCUCCAAUACAAACCAUAGAUUCAUCGAAAUAAGCACACAACGCAAAGAAAACAGAAUCUGUCAAAAACAGAAUAGUCUGUAGUAAUCUGAAAACUUUUGAUACUUUUGUAAGUCCAAAACUUCUGAAACAUUAGGACAACAUGAGAAAUUUGUAUAUAAAUCUUGUGUACAAAAAUCAGGAUUUUAUCGCACUUAUGUUAAAAAUGGAAAUUAUUUUUCUAGACGCAAAAGUUUCUGUUUUUCAACAAGAUUAAAUUAACUAUCACCCAACAUGAUCCCAAAGGCUUUGCUUGGAAUAAACACUAACUAAAACAUAAGAAACACAAUCAUAACAGUACCAUAAUUGUGCAAACACUCAGGAACAAAAAUAAAAACACAAAAAUAAAAUUUAUUCAUUGGGUUGCCUCCCAACAAGCGCUAUCAUUUUAUGCCCCUAGCUAGGCAUAAGAUUUCAACGAUGCUCACAUGAAAGAUAAGAAUUGAAACACAAAGAGAGCAUCAUGAAACAUAUGACAAACACAUUUAAGUCUAACAUAUUUUCUAUGCAUAGGAAUUUUAUAAGCAAAUGAAUUAUCAAGACAAGAAACAUCUAACAUGUGCAAAGAAGAGGAAUAAAACAAUGACGAUCUCAACAUAACGAGAGGCAAUUUAGUAACAUGAAAAUUUCUACAACCAUAUUUUCCUCUCUCAUAAUAAUUACAUGUAGGAUCAUAAUCAAAUUCGACAAUAUAACUGUCACAUAAAAUAUUCUCUUCAUGAUCCACAUGCAUGCAAAGUUGAUACUCUUCCAAAAUAGUGGGAUUAUCAAAUAAAGUCAUGACCUCUCCAAGCCCACUUUUAUCAAAAAUUUCAUAAGAUUGAACACUCUCCAAAUAUGUGAGAUUAUUUUUAGCUAAAAAGUUGACACUCUUCCAAACCCACUUUUAAUAUUAUCACAAGCAUAUUCAUUAUGAGGUUUAAAUAAAUUUUUAAGAUCGUAAGAAUCAUUAUCACCCCAAUCAUGAUCAUUGCAAUAAGUAGUGGACAUAACAAAACAAGCAUCCCCAAGCUUAGGGUUUUGCAUAUCACUAACACAAUUGACAUUAAAAGAAUUUAUAAUAACAUCAUUGCAAUCAUGCUUUUCAUUCAAGGAGCUAUCAUGAGUCACUUUAUAAAUUUCUUCAUGUAACACUUCAUCACAAUUUUCACAUUCAUAACUCUCAAGCAAAACUUCAUAAAGAUAAUCUAGUGAACUCAAUUCAUUAUUGAUUGGUUCAUCAUAAUUGGAUCUUUUGAAAAUAUUAGCAAGUGGAUGAGGAUCCAUAUCAAGAGAUUUUUAGCAAGCGAAGAUGCAAGCCAGUAGAAGACACAUGGCGCACAAGCAAAGAAGAGAUUUGACAAGAAAAUGGCGAACGAAAAAGAGAACGAAUAAAAUGGCAAAAAUGUUGUGAAGUGGGGAGAUGAAAAUGAGAGGCAAAUGGCGAAUAGUGUAAAUUGCAAGGCGAGACGGGAUGAACACACCUCGACCCUUUACCGACAGAGGGGUCACAUUCCGUCGGCCGAAAGAUUCAGCACACCCGAGCACCAGAGCACCCCUCCCGAGCACGCGGGGCUCGAAUCCAUGACGGCACAACGAGGACACCUGUUGCCCCCCCCCCCCGCUGCACGUCAGGUCGUCGUCGUUUGCCUCAAAGUGCCACCUAUGCCAGAUUCAGUGCGCAGGACCCACAUAACUCCCACGUUGGCACCAGCCUUCCAUGCUACCACCGGGCUGACACCAUGCGCUCGUUGAUACAUCCUCAAUGGAUCUAUAUUUUUUACUGUUUCAUGCUACAAUUAUACCAUAAUGGCAUCAUUUUGACAUCAUUUGUUAUUAUUUUUCUAAACUAACAUGUUAAUUCAGUGUCUUGUGAUAAUUCUAUUUUUGGACUUUUGAUGAAACUCAAUAUUAUAUAACACAAAAAAUUAGGAAAAAUACAGAAAAAAAAUCAAGUUGGGAAGCUUCGAGAGGCACCUGGCCCCACCUAUCUAGUGGUUGGCCGCAUGGGCACACGGGAUUAUGUCCCAACGCCUCUCGACGCUCACGCAUUUAUAUUGCUCCCAAAACACUAGAAAUAAUUAUCGAGGAUGUUUUCCACCGUCACAUCUCCCCGUUUCGCCGUGAUCCAAUCUGGAGGAUUUUUGGUACUCUACCGGAGGGGGAAUUAUCACGAUGGCCAUCUACAUCAACCAUACUGAAACCAUGAUUGCACAUGAGUAGUUUUUUAGACUGUGAGUCCAUAGCGGUAGCUAGAUAGCAAUCUCUCUCUUGCUUCAAUACAAUGAUCACAUUAACUACCCCUGCACGAUUGAGAUCUAUCUGAUGUAAUCUUUAUUGGUGUGUUUGUUCUGGUGUGAUGAAUUACCACUUUAUGACGAAUGGAUAAGGAGGCAGCCCACCCAGCACUAUCUCUACAACGAGUGGUUCCUUCCUUCUUAUCUCCGUCUCUCAUGAAUUAUGAAUGGAUACGGAGGCAACCCGACCAUGGGAAACGAGGUAGCAGGUGACGUCGUUGCAACCGAGUCAGUCAUGGGCGCCGCCAAUUCCGCCUGCAUGGCCGCCAUCGACCUCGUCCAUGUCAUCCCUGACCAUCAUCGGUCGUCUCCCAGCAAUGACGGAGUUGAAAACAUCGAUGAUGAUGCUGCUAUGACAUCAUCUUUGACUGGAAAGUUUCUGCAACAUCAUCCAUAUUACAAAAGUCCUUCCGCAACAUCAUCAAUUUGCAAAAAAUGAAGAUGAAAAGAAAAUCUGCAAGACAACUUUCAUUGCAAAUGCUUCUGCAACAAGAACUCUAUUGCAAAAGAUUAUGUGACACCUUGUUUGUUGCAAUGAUGAGGACAGUGUUGAGCCGCUGGAUGACACCAGAUCUAACGGUUGCCGAGGCGGAGGAUCUUUUAGAAAGAUCAGCUGGUCGACACGUAGCAGCCAUGCUUUAUUCAUGGAUUCUAUCAGUUUUUUGCUACAUAAUUUGUAUGCUUUUCGGUCUAUUAGUUUUGCACUAGUCAUGUUUAGAUGAAUGAUCUUCAAGAGGGAGUAAUGUAUGUUAGUGGGGCUCAAUUUAAAGUAAUCUAACGCAAUGACAGAAAGUGAAAAAUGCUCGUAUUGUGUUGUUGGCACUAAGGAUAAAAGAUAGUUUUCUUAGUUGUCCUUUAAAAACAGGGCGAAGACAAUAUACUAUCUACAUCAUAUCAUCAUACUUAAUGCAAUAAUUUGUUUUACUUAAUACUUUGAGAUGCAUAAUUGGUAGCGGUCUUGGAAUGGUGUAUUAGCUAUAAAUGUUGUUCGACUAAUGAUCUAUGGAUGUUUUGACAUGAUUUUUAUAUGAAAUUAUGUCAUUUUUAACAUACUCAUAAAAAGUGCAAUUUAGUCGAUACACAACUGUAAUUUGUUCAUCAUACCAUGUUAUAUUUGGUUGGAGAGAUGCCACUAGUGAAAAUAUGGAUCCUGGUCCAUUCAUACUAUUGCUUUCAACCUCAAUCAACAUAUUUUUGUUCCAUCUACAUUUUGAAUUUACUUCUAUUGCAAUCAAUACUUCCAAACACAAGUUGCCUUAAUCCUUAUAACUAGCAAGGCUAGUAAGAGCAUCCCCAGCCGUUCACCCCCCCCCCCCAGGACGCUGAAAAAGCGCCGUUUGGGGCCAAACCGGUGUUUACUUUCUGCGUGGGGGCGAUUGUGUUCCCAGUCGCCAAAUCAGCGCAAACUCGGAAAUUUUGAUUCAAAUUUGUACAAACACGACACAAACUCGACGAUUUUCAUUCAAAUUUGUACAAAAAACAGAAAGCAAACAACGCCUACUAUGCCUAGCCCUACAACAACACCGCCCACCUUCUACAUACUGAGGAGCCUAUAGAACCGGGUGUAGUAGCCGUCGCUGUCAUCGUCGUAGCCGCCGCCGCCCUAUGUCCCGCCGGAGCCGCCGUCGUCCCUGCUGCACCCCUGACCAGGGUCGCCAACGCGCGGGGGGUUGGACGGCCCGGGCGCGUCCUCGUCAUCGCUGUCGAGGACGACGAUGUUGCCCUCGUCGCGUCCGCGGCGCCGGGCCUUGAUCUCCUCGUAGGCCCGGCGCUGGCGCGCCACCUGCUCGCGGACGUAGUCCUCCUUCGCCCACUUGAGGGCGGUCUCGUCGGCGGCGGCUAUCUCCGUGUGCUCCUUCUUGACGGGGAGCAACCCCGACUCGGUUUUUGGCCGGACGAGGUGGAGGGAACGAGGGGAGGGGCGGCCGCCCUCGUUGAUGACGAGGGCGCCACUGCUGGUGCGGCGCCCAAGCGACGUCUCCUGCGGCUCCGGCUUGACGGGGCGGAGCGCCGGCGACUCGGAGGAGAGCGAACCGAAGCUACCGCGAACCGGAACCCGACAACGAGGAGGUCGUCGCCUCCAUUCGCCCCAGCAUUCAGGAGCUACCGCGGCAGCGAGAGAAGGACGGGGCCGCCGGGUACUCGAGGCUCGACGUGUUACCGGUCUCGAUGUGGUCGAGGACGGCCUCGAGGGCGCGGACUGGCACGCCCCACCAUUCGCGCCGCCCGUCGGCAUUGAGGUGGACGCGGGGGAUGGUGCCGUUGGCAGAGGCAACCUGGUCUUCGUGGCGGCGGUCUAAGUACACCGUCCACAACGUGUGGCUGUCGGCGGCAUAUCUCGGCUCAUUCCGCUGUGCCUCCGACAGCAACGAGCGGAUGCGGGCGAUCUCGGUGCGUCGUUCAGUCCCGGUGGGCACCGGGGGCACUGGGACGCCGCCGGUGCUCAGCCUCCACAAGCCUGGCACCCGCAUGUCUCGGGGCGCCGGGUAGUCGGCCGAAGCCGUUCGCCAUUGCGGCGUCGCCUGGGUAGCGCUCGGCCAUUGCUCGUCGGCGGCGGGGGAAGAGGGGGAGAGUGGCUUCUGUGGUGAGACGAGGCGAGAGAGGAGGCAAGGCGGGAGUGGCUUCUGUGGCGUUCACCGGCGGAGAGAUCGUCUUUUAUAGCCGAAGUUGGGCGGUGAGAACCUGCUCGCCGGGUGCCGCGUGGCGGGAGCGGGCGGGACGCGCGUCGCGGCGCCUUCACUGUGCCGCCCGUGAGGCAUCAAUGGGAGGCUAACCGGCGCAACAGUGCGACAUGCUUGGCAUUGAUUUCCGCGGGAACUGAGGCGGUGAGGACGGUGAAGCGCCGUGUCGCUGACUCAGCAGGCCCAUUCCCUUUCGCGCCAAAAAACGAUUGCCCGGCGCCCACGGGCACCCCCCAGCGUCGGGUUUGGCCUGGGUCCGUCGACGCCAGUUUCUGCCCAAACCGGCAAAAAACGGGCUCUUGGGGGCGCGACUGGGUCGUUUUUUGGCCGUCGACGCUAAAAAAUGGCCGGCGGAGGGGGGUUGUUGGGGGCGCAGCUGGAGAUGCUCUAAGACCGACAAUCUUAUUUGGGCAACGUUCUAUAUUUGUGUGUGCAGGUGACAACGAUUGGUUGUAGUCUAAAUACUCUUACUUGGUUCGAUAAAUCGCUCCUUGCUGCAAACCUCUACACUUGGGGCCCAACGCCUUCCCAGACUUCCCAGAUUAGAGGAAGCUUGCCUACUUAUGGCAUUGUUAUCGGGAAGAUAUUUGCUACCACCAUACAUCCUACUCUUCUUUACUUUACUUCCUUAUUAUCUAUCUUGCUUAGUUACUUUUUAUUAAUUAUUUUUCUUUUGUUUUCCAAAAAAGACAAAAAUAAUUUUAUUCCAACAAGUAGUUAUUUUGUUUUACCUUGUUAUCAUGGCUAGUUCUUCACUUUCCACUACUCCCCCUAAGCUAGAAGUUCUUCCCUUUCCACCACUCCCCUGAGCUAGAAGCUCUCUAGUUUGAGCAAGAGGAUGGAGAAAGUUUAAAAGAUGCUUGGUAUAGAAUCUGAGAUGCUCAGAAUAGUUCUAUUACCAAAUGCUCAACUGAUAUGCUCAUAAGAAACUUUUAUGAGGUUGCCCCUAGUCCCGGCCUCCUUCGCCUCCUCCUCCUCCUCCUCUCCUCACAGCCGCCAGCGGGUGCCAUCGGGCUAAGCUCGGCAGGCAUCGGCGGUAGCAAGGCCUCUCCUCCUCCCUCGCAUGGCAAUGGGGUUGCAGGGCUCAACCGAUCGGCGGGGACGCGGAGCUUGGUGAGGGACACAUUAGCGGAGCUGUGUGUGGCGACGCUGCAAGUGCGGGUGCGCGUCGAGGACGUGGUGGAUUCACGAUGCGGUUAGUGGUGGUCGGUUGCGCUCUGCUUCGUGUACAGGCUGGCGUGAGGCGAAAGGGUAUUAUUGAAUUCAUGCUCCAGCCAACUCAGCCAAAAGUCCGAACUGAUGAAUGGAGGCCUUAGACAUGGGUGAACUGAUGAAUAGAGGCCUUAGACAUGGGUUCAAUGUAGGCCGCAGAAUCGUUUUUAUAAAACUGCGUUGGCAGGGUCUUGAACUCAAGACCUCUUGGCUGGGAUACCAUAUUGAAUUCAUGCUCCAGCCAACUCACCCAAAAAUCCAAACUAAUAAAUGAAGGUGAACAAUAUAUUUCAACGGGUAAGACUCGAUGGGUUGCAGCAUACUGCAGGUGGUGAACUCAAGUGCAGGUGGUGAACUCAGGUACCUUUCGGUUGCAGCGUAUCAGCAUCUUUGAGCGUGCUUUGAUCAUGGUGUGAUGCUUCUUCGGCUUUGGGUGCAGUGGAAUUGUUUGUCUCCUAUCUAUAGAGAUACUAAGCUCCCUCGAAUUGAAGCACUCCGGUGCUUCGAGGGUUGUGGGGGUCACUAGGACCCCACGCGUAAUUGUGUGUUAUUUAGUUUUAUUUCUUCUUCUUUUUAUUUUAUUUUUCAUGUUUUAAUUCAUGAGCAUUUAUUAAAAUUUGUGUACUUUAAAAAUCAUAAACAUAUUUUCAAAUUCUUCAAAUUCAUUAAUAUUGGUUACAUCUGUUGAUAUUUCCAAAGUUCAUGGUCAUUUAAAGUUUGUGCACGUUUUUUAUUUUUUUUAUUUUUUAUUUUGCAAACAUUUUCAAAACCAUGAAUAUAUUUUAAAUUCAUGAAUGUUUCUGAUUUUUUUGGUUUUUAAAAGUCAUAAUAUUUUUAAAUUUUCUUAAACAUUAUUUAAUUAAACUAACCUUUUCAAAUAAAAGAAGAUUGGUGAUUUUUUCUAAGCUAGCAGUGGGGUGAGCGAAUAAAAACUAAACGAGCGAGAGGGGGAGGUAGCCAAGCUGAGCGAGCAAGAGUUUCGUGUGGUGACUCCUGUGAGCAUCCCGGUAGCAAUUUCAUGGGUUUAACGUGAAAUAAGAACUCCCAAGAGGCUUAAAUAAUCACCAUCGGGCUGACACUAACAUCUAAAUAUGCAAAGACUUCACAACCAGGCAUCAAAUAACUCCUCUCUUCUGUUAAAAAAAUCCAACAACAACCCAACACGGUAUACGAACAAAAAAACACCAUCAAUAAAAAAUUAAAACACAAAGCCCACACAGAUAAAAUCAAAACAAACAACUGAUCGUAAUCUAUCCCUAAUACUAAAGCACGGAUUAACUCUGUGGGUUCACCCUCACAAUGCGCUUUCUUUUCAUAUUAUAAUACGCUUUUACGAUUUAUAUGGAUAAAAUCGUAAUAUAAACGAGGUGGUACUAAUAGCAGCAUGAUUGUCAGGCUGUCCGUUGGCCAGCUCGGCCCAGCAGUGCAAUGCGAGGAGGUACGUGGGCCUGCAGGAUGUCCAUUGGCCAGCUCGGCCUAGCUCCAGUACAACACUAGGAAGAAAAAAGAUACUCCCUCCGUUCCUAAAUAUUUGUCUUUUUAGAGGUUUUAAAUGAUGACUACAUACGGAGCGAAAUGAGUGAAUGUAUACUUCAAAAUAUGUCUAUAUACAUCCGUAUGUGAUGACUAUUUGAAAUCUCUAGAAAGACAAAUAUUUAGGAACAGAGAGAGUACUUGCAAGAGGAAUCGAACUCAAAACCUUGCAGGCGAUACGUUUGACGCCAACCAACUGAACUAUGUCCAUCUAUGUUGAUUGGAUACGGUUGGUCUUAUUAUCAAUUAGUACCACCUCGACUUUUUACAAGCACAGCCAUCAAUUUAUAUACGCGUUCAAGUUACCUGUCAUCAAUCACCUUAAUAAGUCAGCUUGCAAAUUGGUGAUCGGAGGAUGACGAGUGGGUGCCCAGAAAGGAAGUAAUGAUGAAGAAAGGAAGGAUUCUUGAAAAAGGAAGAAAACAUCAAGGAUAAAUAUGGUGGGCAAUCAAACAAACGGGGCAAGGAGGAAUCGGUACUAUGUGGGAUAAUUAAGAGACGGCCUAAUUGGAUGCUUUAGAAAGAUGGGCAAUUAAACAAGGCAAUUAAGAGAUAUUCCUUCCUAAGACACGCCUGCAUAAUAUAAUACGAUUCCUAAAAUGCACGGUUCAAAAAUAUGAUGGGCAAUUAAACAGCGAUAUUAAAAGAGAUGCCUCGGAUAAAUAAGAAAUGGAAUUCAGGCUAAUUAAGUGUUGGGGCAGAUUUUGUGUGCUAGCUGAUUAUAAGUUUAUCUCUCUCUCUCUCUCUCUCUCUCUCUCUCUCUCUCUCUAUAUAUAUAUAUAUAUAUAUAUAUGUAUGUAUGUAUGUAUGUAUACCUAUUUUUUUAUUAUUAAAGCAAGGUGAUAUUCUUAGUUUCGUCCUGCAUUUGAUCCUACCUUACAUGAAAUACAUGCGGUGGUACUAAUUUCUAUAGCAAAGUUUCAUAUCGGCUAUUAAAAAGGUUCGUAUAAGCUGGGUUGGGCCUGCGUUCCACUGGGGCCUUCACACGUACGUUGUGAUCAAGCCCCCCAGGUUGUUUCAGUAUUGCUUCUCAAGAAAAAAAAAGAUUGUUUCAGUUUUUUUUUUGGUAAGAAUCCUACCUUCUCCCGCAAGGGAUUGAGCAGGCAAUCGAGCUCCUUCCGUUUUCUAUGCCCUCCCAUAAGUUGUUUCAGUUUUCUUUUUCUAAACAAAAAACCUGUCGUCCGGCUGGGGCUUAUGGGCCAGUAGACACGUCUCAGCUUUUAAUGGAAUCAAAAAAAAACUUCUCAACUAGCGUAGGCCUGUAUGUGAUGCGUUUUUUUGUCAAUAGUCCCACCUUGCUCAGUUAAACUGAUUACCAUCAGUUUAUAUACUUUCUCAAAUGAUUGCCAUUAGUAGCCUUGGGAAAUAAUCAGUGAGCUCAUAAAAUGGGAUUAGCAAAACAGUUUGUGAACUACAAUAGAGUUUACUGAUUCAUACAAUGUUUGCUAAUUCAGAAAAUAUUCAUGAAUUUAAAAAAAAUGUUCGUCUAUUCUAGAACUGUUCAACGAUUCUAAAGAAAAUGCUUAAAAACCAUCCGAAUAUUAAAUAAUUUUCAUGAUUUUAAAAAAUAUUCGCAAAUUCAUAAAAAUGUUCAUGAAUGAUCGAAGGUAUGUAGUUAAACAGUAAUGCUUCUGAAUGUUUGUGACUAUAUACCCGCAUGAAUUUUAAAGAAUUAACUACCGGGGUGGAUUGAAAUAUUAUGGUAUGUUUUUUAAAAUACGCUUCUUGACAUUCAGAAUAAUUCUUUGAAUUACCAAGUUUUUUGACAACCACGAUAUUAUUUCAAAAAUAUGCACAUUGCUUUGAUUUGUGAAUAAAUUUAGAAAAAAGAAACAUUUUAAUGUAUUUAUGAACAAAAUUUUGAAAUCAUGCGAUGAGACGUGAAUAAAAUGUGGUCAUCGUGAUUGAACAUUAUGAUUUUUUUCUCCGUUGCAACGCGUCGGACCCUUUUUUCCUAGUAAUCUAUAGAUAUAAGAAAAGUUAAUUCACUAGUGAAGAACGGCGCCGCGAAGCGCGCGUUAGCCCCUAGUCCUUUACGGGGUCGAAGCUCCAUGGCCUGGAGCGAGAGAGCAGACUCUUGCCCUCUCCGACAAUGGCUUGGUGUGUUUAGUGUGUCAGGUCCGAUGAUUUCCCUAUGUCGCAUGGCUUGGAGCAAGAGAGCAGACUCUUGCCCUCUCCGACAAUAGCUUGGUGUGUUUAGUGUCGGGUCCGAUGAUUUCCCUAUGUCGCAUGGCCCGGAGCGAGAGAGCGGACUCUUGCCCUCUCCAACAAUAGCUUGGUGUGUUCAGUUUGCCGGGUCCGAUGAUUUCCCUAUGUCGCGUGGUUCAGUUCCAGUUUGGUAGUCUUUAUAGCAUCUUCUUAGGUGUGGUGUCCCCUGGUUUCAUGCUUGGCUUCGGGUUGAUGGCGUUCUCACCAUCAACUUGAUUGUCAUUUUCCUAAGUUUUGACUUGCUUUUAGGGCAUUCUCUCCAUCACCAGUAUCAGUUUGACCGUUUAUGCUUUUACAUAAAGCAAGGUGAAAGCCCAUUUCGAGAAAAAUUCGAAUUGUCAGGCGCUAAAACUAGGUUCCCGGGAGUUUGCCAAGGUACUCAGAUGUUCCAAGCCAUUCAGAGACACCUCAAGAAUGACAGCUACCUCGAAGGUAGCACACGUGAACACUCUGGAGAUAGCAGACAUGAUCAACAACAUCAAAGAACAAUCAAGCUCUACCUCUGCACCUUCCUAUAUCACUCCCAAAACCUCCUCUACCUCUACUAAACCCACCACGAGAACUUGCAAUACCUCUAAUAAUAAAAAAACGUCUUCCUCUUCCUCAGAGGUACCAGUAUCAGAAAAAUUCUCAUGGACAAACUCGGGAUCAAGGCACUCGGACAAUGCACUCUUGCCUUGAUUCCCCAUUCUGGAUUUUAGCAUCAAAGGGAAACCGUAGUAGCAAUAAAAAGAUCACACCUAGCUUGUUAAAGUCUCUGAAUAGCAACAAAAAAAAAAGAAGUCAAAUAUCAUUAACAGUUUUGUCCAUCUCUACAUUAAUACUCCCUCCGUUCCAUAUUUAGUGUCGUAUUACCAAGAUUUACUCCUAUUGAACUACAAAACGUUGUAUAUCUAGUUACAGAGGUACUUCCUCCGUCCCACAAUAUAAGAUCGUUUCUCAAGCUAACAUAUUUUGAAAAACAUUCUUAUAUUACGGGACGGAGGUAGUAUCUUACAAGCCAUGUCAUGUAAAUUGGACCGCGCAGAAUUUGAAACACUAGGGAAACACAGUAGUACCCACCACUAUCUCCAAAUUCUUGUGCUUCACUCUAUUGACAGCCUUACCCAUAACCUUCUGAUCAAUAUCUGUUCUGCCGCUUGACCUCCUUUCCUCCAUAGAUACAUCUUUUACCUUUGUUCCUCCUUAAGUUUUCUUUCUUUCAACUCCAUCACCCAGCUUGGACUCUAACACAUGAUCACCAUCUCCAUCUCCAUUAUCAGACUGUCCAUUACCAAAACUUUAUGAUACAACACCUUCGUUCAUCUCUGGUAACUUCUAUCCUAAAUCCUAAAUUCAUGGCAUAAGCCUCAGCAUCCAUAUCCUCUGCACCUUCUAAUCCCAGAUAAUCAGAGCCAUUCUCUUCAACAUUCUCACUAGCAUCAUAGUCCACCUAUGCCUCCCCCUCUUCCUCACGAUCACCUUCUACAUCUGUCAUAUUUGUAUCCAGAGAACUUUUCUUAUUUUGCUCUCAGCAGACUGGUUCAAACUAUACCCUGCUCUGGAUUUCCUUAGAAGCCUUUUUCUUUAGAAUUUUUUUCUCAUUAAGCUCCAACUCCAUUAGCUGAUCUGAACCAGGUUGACUGGAAGGAACCUCAUCACACUCAUAGAAGCAAUGGAUUGAGGAACACAACUCCCCAGCACUGUCUUAUCGUUCUCCAUGCUUGUUGGAUAAUGACACUAAUUAAUUUGCUCCAAACUGUUCUUCCGGGGAAAGGUGGUCAUUCAGAAGUAAUAUGUGUAGCAUUAGGAUAAGCAAGCCUUUGUAGUUUAUGUGUUGUGGAAUUGUGAAGUACUGUUAUUUAACUAUGUUUGUUUUAAACCCCUAAAAACUCAAACUGAUGGGCAGAACCAGUGACUUGGUAGAAACAUCUGCCAGUCUGUGAUCGCUCGCCAGUCAGUGUAGACUACCCCUCGACGGACUGGAGGUUAACAACAGGUGCUAGACCCGUUAACUUGUUAACUUGUAACUCAAAAGAGUACACAAAGUUUUCAAACUGCAGGAACAUGAGGAAAAUGGGCACUCCUAUAUAUCGACUGAGAGGAUAAACUCCAUUAUUUUCCUAUUGCCAAAGUAAUGCAUCUGGCUCACGACUAAAAAAAAACUUGUGACAACUUAAUACCAUCUAAUCAUCACGGACUUGAAAAAAGGUCUUUCAAAAGAGCACAUAUCUGAUCCCAUCCCAAAUAACAGCCACGCUCAAAUCCUUUUUGUUUUCAAAAAUUGAAGUUGCCCUUAG
rnacentral:lncRNA from 1 species